rnacentral:lncRNA from 1 species
AACACACCACCGCCUUCUACCACAGACACCGCCGUUGUACCCUUUUUCUAUUCACCUUCAAAUCAAUACUAGUGUUUUCACGAUGUAGCCUUCACGCCUUCACUAGUGGUGGUGCAACGAGAUCCAUUUCUCCGCACCAUCGUUUCCACCUCUCCGCAUCUCUUUUCGGAUCCGUCGCAUCGCCGCCGUUAUUAGAUGCAUUUGGAUCCAGUUUGCGAUGUUGUUAUGUGUUUUUGGUUUCUGUUGGUGGGGUUGCUUUUGUUCCUUCGUUCUCUCCUUUGUUUUCGUACAGUGUUGUGCCACCGAGACCAGCUCCUCAGUGUUUAACCCUCCUCUGUCGUUCUCGCCGGCGACUUUACAAGGGACGUGGUGGGUUGUCUUUCGGUUUCUUGACAUGUUAAUCUGAGUUUUUGCUUAGAUCCGGAGCUAUUUUGGUUCUUUUUCGCUUCAUCUCAUUGGGUUUUUGGUGUUGUUAAUUGUUGGGAGUUUGAUGUUCCGGAGCUCCGUCAAUGCUAUGUUGUUGUUGUUUAUGUUUGUGUGUUUUUAUUCUACUGUUUGUUAUUUUUUUGUUGCUUUGGAUUGGGAGUCUUUAGAUUGUGGUUGUUUUCUUGUCUGUUUGGUGGUUCGUUUUGCUUUGUGGGUUCCAUUUUUGCCUCGCGACUGGGUGUGUCGGUGAGUCAUGGUGGUGAUGUGGUGGUGGUUUUGUGGUUGCGUGGUGGUGGUGAUUCAGUUGUGGUGGUGGUGAUGGUGAUUCGGUUGUGUGGGUUGUUUUUCGCUGUUGUUUUCGUGUUAAGGUGGUGAUGUGGUGGCGUGUACAUGAGGAGUUUUUGUUUGAUUUGUAUCGUCCAGCUCAUCUUGAGAUAACGGUUAUGCGGGUGGUGGUUGAUGUUAGCAACAUAAGGUGACCGUUGUUGGUGUUAUUUUGAGUUAACGGUGAUGUAGGUAGUUAUUGGUGUUGGUAAAAUAAUGUGGUUUGUUGUUGUUGGGUCGGGAGUUUGAAUGUAAAGUGGUGGUUUUUGGUGGUGAUGCUUGUAACAGUCCGAUUUUCGCUAGAUUUAUUUUUAAUUGUUUUAAUAUGUGUUUAUAUGUGCUUGUGUGUGAUUAUUUAUCAUUGGAUGCAUUUUAAUGGGUUUUAGUGCAAAAAGGAUAUUUUGGUCAUUUUGCGAGUAAGGGUUAUUUUGUAGUGUUUCAAGUGAGAACCAUUAUUUUACUAAUUUACUAGUGUGGUAAUUAGUUUUGAGCUGGUAAGUGAUCGUUGUUAUUAUUUUACCGUUAAGUGAGUAUAAACAUUUUUGAAUUAGUUAAUGAGUGAGUUGAGCCCAUUAAGGGUUAAGCUCAUUUGAGAGGAGCCUAUAUAAGUUCUAGUCUUUAGAGAAAAAUAGGUUUUUAUUUAUUUCAUAAAAAUUUGAGAGAGGUAGAGAGAGAAAGUUCAAAAGAAGGAGCAAAAAGUUUAGAAGGGAGAAAGCUUGAAGAACCAAGAGGUGAUAGAGAUUCUAGGAGCUAAAUUGAAGCUUUUGCUAGGAUUAUUGCUUAUUGAGGUAAGGGGGGUUAGAUUUCAAUCAUAAUCUCUUAGUUUAAUUUCUUCCCUAAUUCUAUGCAUAAGUGCUUAUUUGAAUGAGUGAUUAUUUUGCAAUUAAUUGUUGAAAUUCGUGUUCUUGUUAUGAUGAUAUGUUUAAGUACAUGAAUUUGGUGAUAAUUGAAUUGUUGUAGAUGAAAUUGCAUGUUCAUAAUAUGUGAAAAUGGGUAUAUUGUGAAUUGUGCUCUAAUUGUUGAAUUGUGUUAUGUUGUUGUUGAAAUGUGGUGAGAUUCAUGUUUAAUUGAUGUUGUUGUUGUCAUGAGAUAUUGUUUUUGAUGAUUCAUAGCUUGGUUGUUCAUAAUCAUGGGUUUGUGAUGUGAAUUAAGUUGUUGUUGUUGGUUUUGUGAAAAUGGGUUGAUUUGGUGAAUCAUGUUAGAAUGGAAUUUGAUUACAUGUUUAGUGUAUUUUUGAAAGCCCUUUUAAGUUCUAAAACCUGUAAACAAUCUUUGGAAACAUAUUUGGGCGUUGGGAGAUCAAAAUUGGGAAUUUUAGAUGGAAAAGGGUUGGAACCCGAGAGUUUUUUCUGCAGAACUGAUGACUGUUCGCUUAAGCGAACAACCACAAUAAGUUCUGGAACUUGGUCGCUUAAGCGAACGGUAAGCGAACAGCUACUGUAAGCUUCUGGAGCUUGGUCGCUUUAGCGAACAGAUGGACGCUUAAGCGAACGAGCCCAAUUUCUGCAACUUUUGAUUUUCGUUCCGGGCUUUAGGGAGCCCAGUUAUGUGGUGUCUACUUAUGGUUUAAGAAACCGAUUUUAGAACUCCUAUUAACCCUAAUGGAAACAUGUGCGGUAAGUUAACUUAGUUAAAUUUACAGCAUUCCCAUAAGGAAGAAUUAGAAAACAUGAGGUUUCAUACUUAAUUUCAUUAACUAUAAUUAAGAAAGAAGCAAUUAGAACUGUCAUGAACAGAAGAAGAAAUCCAGGUUGUCAAUCCUACUAACCUAUACAGAUCAAUUUUCACGAUCACCGAUACAGAUUCUCAAUUGAAAAGGCAUUAAGCAUAGACAAGAACGAAUUAAAUCGGACACAAGAAAAUCAUAAUUUAAUAAAAAGUUUAUUAACGAAAUUUAACAAAUAAGAAGUGGUUCAUCUUAGAACUUGUUUUGGUCCGGCUAGAAAACCAAUACAACGCUGACACGUGGACAAGAAGCCCUCCGGAUCAACGCCCGUCACUUAGGCGAACACCCUAACUCUAGUGCACGCCACCCCACGUAAGCACGCCCAUGUGCACCACACAUCGUACACGUGUCUUCCAAAGGCCUUAUGAAGAAGCAUCGCAUUUUACGGAGACGGUUAUUCUCUCACACGCCUAUAUAAGGGUGACAUAGCUUCAGCCCAGGGUAUGAUUCAAUUUUCCCACACUUUUCACACAUUCCAUCUCAUUUCCUACACUGACUUGAGCGUUGGAGUGCUAACGUGCCUGCAGGCACCUUUUGUUCCACCUGAAGACUUAUCGCCAUGGUGAUCAUUUUCUAACAGCCACAUUCUAACGAUCUUCCACCGUAACCGUUUUUUGUUACGUGUUCCUCCGCCUUAACUCUUUUCAAUUACACAUUCCUCCACGCAAUCGUUCACAAUUAUAGCUCCGUCUUCUGAAUAAAUGGUCGGAACUCAAAGGAGAAAUGUCGCAAGUCGCUCCUCCGCCGUGCAGGAAUCACGUCAUGUGAUCCAAAUCCUCUAAGAUUAAGCAAUUCCAGUUCUUGAAUCAGUGAAUCAAGAAGGAAACAUGAACACUAUUGCUCUUGACGCAACGAUCAACACUCGUCCUUCCACAAUGUAACAUCCCAAACUGCUUUCAGGAUUGCCGACUGAACCAACAAACCAACACGAGUCUUUUUAGCGUGGUUUGUCAUCACUCACACGCUUUCCCAUAAACUUCCCUGAAGGUCACCCAUCCAAAGACUACUCCUAGUCAAGCCCGCAUAACUGUGGAGUUCUUAUGGAAUGAGCUAAUGAAAAAAAGAUGCAUCAUGUUGAUAUAGGUAGUACCAAACAAUUAUUAUAAGCAUUCCUUCAACGAUGCAGUCUCAUACCUGCAUAGUCUUAGGAUCCCUCUCAUUAUGAUGUGAAUCGGCUUUACCUAGAAGCUUCCAGAAGUCAGACCACUCUCCACCCUCGCCAGCCUCGGGUGUUGCAUUCCUAAAAAACUAAUUCCUUCACCAUAGUUUAUGCUCACUUUAUAAAUCAUAAAGGCUAAUCUGGUUCUUCCAAUAGAACUAGCUAGAAAAUCUUGAAAGACUAGUUCAUGCUUUGUCAAAGCCUUGAUGAAGUUUUUCUUAAAAGCUUCUUCCAAAACCUUGAUUUUGAUUUCAAGUUCACAAAUAUAUUCUUUUAAGGUUAGGUGCUCUUCUCGGACAAUGUCAUACUGCCUUUGAAGGGCUUGAUCUGCAGUACGAGGAUCUGUAUGACCACCAUUCUCAAGGAUGUCAUUUCUGACCAGAAGGUGUUCAUAUUGCUUCCCCAUAAAACUACUGAUGGCUUCCAACAAAUUAAACUUUUUCCUUAAUUUUCAAAAUUCUUUUGAUUUGUUUAAGCACCUUUUAGCAAGUUCUUUAACAACACCAACUAACUCUUAAUGAGUAGUUUUAUGAAGUUCCUUAUCUCCAUCAUCAGAAUCUGAUUCAAACUCAGCAUCAGAAUCUACUUCAAAAGUAUUUUUUAUCUAGGCACCCAAAUCAUUGUUCUUCAACUCCUCCAUCUUUGACUUCCACGGUUGGUAAUAAGUAGCUUUGGUUGCACCCAUCUUCAAGUCUCGGGUCAAUACACCACCUCCAAACUUCUUUUUGAAAUUGGCAUAAAGAUGCCUCAAAUAUAUCAUAUGUUCAAUAAUGUCAGACCAUUCAUCAAGAACUAAUAUGAGUCCCUGAUGCAAAAGAAAAAUUAGGUAAGCUAGUAUGCAAUAAUGUAAAUUUAAUAACAUCAUAUCUGAUAAAAAAAAAAACUUUACCAUUUGAUGGUCAGAAAUAAAGAUCCAUCUCUUAUCAGUUCAAGUAUCUUCGAGCAGUAAGGUAAGGAACCACCUCCAUGAAUCUGUUGUUUCAGUCUCUACAACUCCAAAAGCCAAAGGAAAGUAUUGGUCAUUUGCAUCUCUACCAACUACAAUUAAUAAAAUUCCUCCAUACUGAGUUUCAUAGGACAACCAUCUAACCAUAUGAAUGGCCUACAUCAUGAUAAAAAUGUCUUCUUGCAUCCAUCAAAACAAAAGUAGAAUCUGCUAAACCUUGGUUCGUAAGUUAGUGAGGUUCUCUCAACAUUAAUCUUAAAAGUGUUUCCAGUUGACACCCUUCUAAGCUCAGCUGCAUACCUCCAAAGUAAGGCAUAUUGUUUCUUGGCAUCCCCUUCUAAGAGUUCCUUAACUUUGUUUUUUGUCAUCCAAGUUGUAUGAAAUGAUACUCCUAGUGUGUACGUUUUUCUAUGAUCUAUCAUAGUUUCAGUUAAUUACUUUCAUCUCAGAUGUUUUGAUUUUAUCAAGGGCAUAUAUGGAAACAAACUUGGAAUUUUCACUACCAUUAUCUAAUACCAUUGGACACUUAUGGUCCCAUACCAUGUCUUUAGUUUAAUUGUAUGGUUGUAAGCCACUUUGCUAUAGUGGGCCAGGAAAUCACAUUCUUUCUUGAACACUAUCAUACACCUUUCUUUAUAAUUUUUUACAAACUUAAUCUCAGUCUCAUUUAAUACAGACCACUCGCUGAUUGCAUCUUUAAACUCUAUUAGAGACUUAAAAUCCAUACCUACUUUGAAAACAUAGUUAUUGGUUAGCUGACUCAUCUUAAAUACAUCAUAAAUAGGUGCUCUCUCAUCAUCAUAUAGAUCAGGAUCAUCAAAAUUUAAUUUUUCACUCUCAUACUCCUUCCCUUAAUCAAGGUUAACCACAUCAUAUCUAGUUACUACUUUCAACUUUUUACCCUUAUUAGACUUUAGUGUACCACUGUCAACAUUCAAAAAUUCAUUAUGUUCUUUCUCAAACCCAUCUUCAACUUCAGUGCUCUCUCAUCUUCACUAUCAUCAAAGUUAACAUUGUUAGCAUCAUCUUCACUGCUACUUGCACCACCUUCCUUCUCAUGCUCAUUACCAUUGUACUUUAAUAACCCUUUUCCUUUGUUAGUGUUAACUACUUGAGAACUCUCACCCUUCUCAGUGUUAACCACCUGGGAACUCUCACCCACUUGAUUAACAACAUUAUAGUUAGGAACAUCAACUAAUCCACAUUAUGUUCAACAAAACUAUUAACAGCAAAGAGUUUUUCAAAGUAUAAUCUUUAAUCUCACCAGCAUCAGCCUCUACUUUAAUCACCCUAAAACUAACCUCUUAAUCUAACAUCCACCACAAUCUAUAAGGUUUUUUCACAUUCAAAUCAUUUUCUACUAUACCGGUUAUCUCCAAUAACUCCACCUAUCUUCAUCUAACCCUUCCUUCAAUGUUUCCUCCCCCCCUUUGCAAGUAAUAAUCCAAUCCCUAACAAAGCUACCUCCAUGAUGAAAAUUAACCAAAAAAUCCAUAAUUAGAAACAACGAAAAAAUGGAAGAAAAUAAAACUAAGUUCAUUAAAUAUGUUCAUACCACAAUUUCGCGAAAAAGUGGAAGAAAACAAAAACUACCACUGAAAAACAACAAAAUACAUUCAUAUAUCACAAAAAAUAUUCUAAAUUACAUACCUCGAUUUUGUUUCGAUUUGCUUCUCCAUCUGAUGUGUUCUUUCUUCUAAGUUCUUCAAUCUUCGUGUUUCCAAUUCCCAGAACCCUUUUCCUUCUAAGUUCUUCAAUCUUCAAUGCUCGUUACUAUACGUUUCAAUUCAUUUAGAUUUUAACAAGAUUUGAAGUAGGUUUUAAAUUUCGAUUUCACUAUGUUUUCACCUCUUUGGAACCCUAAUCCUAAUCCCCAAUUCGUUUUUCUAAUUCAAGAGAAUACAAAGAUUGGGGUAUUUUCGUUCUGUCAUGUCUAUCUGAGAAGCCUGAGGUAUUUUUGUCUCUUCACACCAACUUUUGUUGACUCAGAAUGCCACUUAAUCAAUCAGCAGUGUCGUGUCAUCAUAUUAGUGACAUGGCAGUCAUUAACAGGGUCGAGGGACCUAUUUUAAGUGAUUAGUAAUUGCAGUGACCGUUGGAAGAGAUUAGUAAGCUCAGGGACCAAACUUCAAAUGAUCCCUAUUUGCAAGGACUAAAUGCAACACCCCGUUUUCCCAACAUAAAAAUUUCAUAACAAUUAUCAGAGUAUUCAACACAUAAACGAAAUGCUACACUUCUUAAAAAUCAUAAAUGAGAUAAAUAACAAUUUAUCCUUCAACAUAAUUAUUCAAAACUUCGCAGCGGAUUUAAUUAAACAACAUAAAUAGUCUUGGCACGAAGGCCUCAUCAAACAUCUCAUAAAUAUCCAACUAACAACUUAAUCAUAUAAAUUGAUAAUCAAAUACGUAAGGAAUAGAAAAUAGCCACAAAAGUGAAGGAAAAUCGAUUUCAAAUUACAGAAUAAGUAGCGGAAAAAUUCGAUUUUCAUUCCUUGGAUCAUUACGAACUACACAUUGAAUCAGUGAUUCGAUUGUUACCUCGAAGUGUGAAACUGAGACUGAAGCUGGAAUCUGGAAUCUGGAUCACGAUCACAGCAAAGCAAGCAGCAGAGCCUCUAUCAAGUCCACACGAACAGUGCUCCUCCAAAACUCGGUGCUAGCCAAGGAAUCGGAAGUCUCAGAGAGCUAGGGUUUCUUCAGAGCGCGUAACCUCAAACUUUAGCACUAGGGUUUUAUUUAUAGAACUCCUUGUGUGCUAUGCAAGUCAGAAGCCACUAUUGGACUUCACUAAGCCCAAUAACGAGUUUAGUAGUUUUGCUAACUAAUUAGCNGAUUUAAUGAUUAAUUGCAUUACUUGAAAUAUUAUUGAAUGAUCAAGAUGUUGAUGAAAUGAAUUGAUAUGAUGAAGUAUAAUGUUGUUGUGAUCUGAUUAUGCUGCUAUUGUUAUUUAACUAAGUUGCAUGAGUCUAUACAAGAUGAUUAAGAUGAUGUUGAAAUCCAAAUUAUUGGAUGUAUAUGAGAUGAUGAUUAAGAUGUUUUAGAUGAUUGAGUCCAUGCAUUAGCAUACAUUUGUUGGGGGCUUAUGCCCUGGAGCUUUGUACUAACCACGAUGGAGCAUUUGCUCAAAAUAAUUGUUGGGGGCUUAUGCCCUAAAAGUAUAUUAAUACAAUAAUGCUGGGGGCUCAUGCCCUGUAUUGGUACCACAUGCAUAUAAGAGGUUUAGGUUGCAUUGUAAUUUUGAAACAACUCCGCUGCGAUUGAUAAAGAUAUUUUGUUGAAAGUUAAAUUGUUAUUUAACUGUUUUUAGAUUAUGUGAAUGGUGAUAUCCCGUUUGUGAUGUUUACUCUGAUUUAUGUUAAGAAAUUUUUAUGUUGGGAAAACGGGGUGUUACAUCUACUACAAUACCACUACCAUAAAUAACAUGGCCAAGAAAACUCACCUCUUUCAACCAGAAUUCACACUUAGAUAAUUUAGCAUAAAGUUUCUUCUCUUUCAACACUUGCAAAACAGUCUUCAAAUGCUCAGCAUGAUCUUCCUCGGUCUUGGAGUAAAUUAAAAUGUCAUCAAUGAAAAAAACCACGAAACGAUCCAAAAAUGCAUGAAAAAUGCGAUUCAUGUACUCCAUAAAUACUCCAGGUGCAUUUGUAACACCGAAAGGCAUCACUUUAUACUCAUAAUGUCCAUAUCGCAUUCUAAAAGCUGUCUUCUGCAUAUCUUUAUCUUUCACUUUAAUCUGGUGAUAACCCGAUCUCAAAUCAAUCUUGCUGAAAACACGUGCACCCACUAACUGAUCCAUCAAGUCAUCAGUUCUUGGAAGUGGAUACCUAUUCUUUAUUGUUACUUUGUUCAACUGUCGAUAGUCAAUACACAAUCUCGUACUACCAUCUUUCUUCUUAACUAGAAAAAUUGGCGCUCCCCAAGGUGAAACACUUGGUCUUACAAACUUCUUAUCAAGCAAAUCUUCUAAGUGUUUCUUCAACUCAGCCAACUCAGAAGCUGACAUGGUAAGGUGUCAUAGACACAGGCUUCGUUCCCGGAAUAAAAUCAAUCGAAAAUUCAACUUCUCUUUCUGGAGGCACAUCAGGAAUUUCAUCAGGAAACACUUCUGGAAAAUCGCAUACCACCUGUAACUUAUAAAUCACUGCUUGAUUCUCAAUAGACAAAGAUGCCAUCAAAGAAAACAUCAAGAUUCCAUCACAUUCUAAUUGCUUCAGCUGCUUAGUAGACAAGAACUCUGCGCCACUUUCCUCUUCAGCAGAAGAGAAAUACACCGACUUACUAAAACAAUUAAUAUGAACAUGGUUGUACUCUAACAAAUUCAUAUCAAGGAUUACAUCCAUACCACUCAAAGGUAAACAAACUAAGUCAAUUUCAAAAUCACGAUCAAACAUAGACAAAGGACAUCUUAAACACACGAGAGAAGUAGUCACCGAACCCUUAGCUGGAGUUUUGACAACCAUCUCUCUAUUCAUAUUUUACAUAGCAAGACCCAACUUAGUAGCACAAUCAAUAGCAAUAAAACAAUGUGUAGCACCAGUAUCAAUAAUAGCAACUAAAGGUGUACUAUCAAAAUAACAUGUACCUCUGAUCAAGUGAUCCUCAUUCUCAGUCUGAGUAGCAGUCAAAGCAAAAACUCUACCAGUAGUCUGCGCCUUCUUAGGCUUCUUGCACUGCGAACCAAUGUGACCUUCCUCAUUGCAAUUAAAGCACACAAUAUCAUCAUGUUUACACUCAGCAAGUGCAUGACCUUUCUUCCCACAACGAAAGCAUCUUUUCACGUCCCCAGGACAAGCAUUACUCUUGUGACCUUUCUCACCACAAGUAUUGUAGAAAAUCUCAACAGGGGCAUCUUUCUUUCUAGGGCGCCUCUCAUCAACCAUUCUCUGUUUACCCUUAUCAGCAGAAGCACUGUAAGGCUUAGGACGACUCUGCUGACCUUUGACUUUUCGCUCAUUCACAAUCUUGUAAUGAGCCUUAGUAUCCUCCUCAUAGAUCCUGCAACUGCUCACCAGAUCAUAAAAAGUACGGAUCUUCUGGUAACCAAUUCCUCUCUUAAUCUCAGCACGCAAACCAUUCUCAAAUUUGAUAAACUUUGAAAAUUCAGCAGUCUCUGCAAUGUAGUGCGGACAAAACUUUUCCAACUCCACAAACUUGGCAGCAUACUCUGUCACUGACAUGUUUCCUUUCUUCAGCUCAAGGAACUCGAUCUCUUUCUUCCCGCGAACAUCUUCCGGAAAGUAUCUGUCUAGGAACUCUCUCCCAAACACAGCCCAAGUAACAACAGCACCAUCUUGCUCCAAAACAGGUAGAAGGCUAAUCCACCAAUCAUCAGCUUCCUCAGCUAGCAUGUGCGUACCAAAAUGCACUUUCUGAACCUCUGAACACUGCAUGACCCGGAACACUCUCUCUAUCUCUUUGAGCCAAGUCUGAGCUCCAUCAGGGUCAUAUCUUCCUUUGAAAGUAGGAGGAUGGUUCCUCAGAAAAGUCUCUAGCAUCCUCACUUCAGCAUUAGCACCAACAUUUGCAUUAGGCUGAUGUACCACAGCUUGAGCCACAACUUCUACGGCAGCAGCAAUCGCAACAUCGUUUCUUCCAGCCAUUCUUAGUUUUCUACACAACAAGCAACAAAAAAAUAAGACAGUAUUACAACUGUUACUAAACACGACACGACUCAACUACUUGGCCGGAUGGACCUGCUCUGAUACCAAUUGUAACACCCCGUUUCCCCAACAUAAAAAUUUUAUAACAAUUAUCAGAGUAUUCAACACAUAAACGGAAUGCUACACUUCUUAAAAAUCAUAAAUGAGCGGAUUUAAUUCAACAACAUAAAUAGUCUUGGCACGAAGGCCUCAUUAAACAUCUCAUAAAUAUCCAACUAACAACUUAAUCAUAUAAAUUCAUAAUCAAAUACGUAAGGAAUAGAAAAUAGCCACAAAAGUUCACAACCCGUUACGUAUCAGAGCACCUAAAGACACAGUGAGGGAUAGCCACUCACGACAGCAAGCAACAACUACUUAUUCUCGAUCACCUGCAAGUUACUCAUACGAAGAGCAACAUUUCCAAGCAGAAAGGGUGAGAUUUCACAAAACAAUAAUAUUAAGCAUAUAAUUCAACAAUUAUAUUUAAUACCAUGAAAACAUCAUAAUAUCAUCAUAGAUAAUAAUAUAAUUAUAUAACACUUCAUUAACAGCUCAUAUAUAUAGAAUCACAACUUAAGGCUUUGUUUGGAUAUCUUAAAACUAACGAAACGGAGCGGAGCGGAAUGGAAUGGAGCGGAGCGGAAUGGAAUGGAGCGGAACGGAAUGGAACGAAACGAAUGUUCCAUUCCAUUGUUUGGAUAUUUUACGACGGAAUGAAACUAAUUUCUCAUUCCAUUGUUUGGAAAGUAGACAGAACGGAAUGAGUUAUAACUUUUUUAUUUCAAUUUUACCCUUUAUUUUAAAAAAUUAACAAUAAAGCAUCAAUAUUAUUCUGCAUAGGCUAUAAUUAAUAUGCUGGAAAUGGACUAUAAUUAAUAUGCUGCAAAAUUCACGUUUGUAGCAGCAACUCACUUGGAAUUUUAAAACUAAAAUAGUUAUAAUGUAACACAUGAAAAUUACAGGCUUGCAAGCUAUGCAAUUUGAAAUCAAACAUCAAUAUUGAAUCUGCAGUGGCUAUAAUAAGCUGCAGAAUUCUCCUUUUAUAGCAAAUUCCUUGAAAUUCAAAAAUUAAAAUAGUUUUAAGAUAACACAUAUAUUCUUGAAAGUGGACAUAAUGCAUUUUAUAUUUCUAAAACGAAGAAUGAAGAGCUGCAAACAAGAGAAAGAGAGGUGGAGGUGAACAGUAAGAGCAAGAUGGAAUACAAAAUGGUGAAGAGAAAAAAACGAGGGAAUGAGGUCACAUAAAUGAAGUUGGGGAAUGAAAGUAGGGACAAUGUUGUAAUUGUCUUAUUAAUGUGUUUCAUUCCAUUGGGAACACCUCAAAUUGGGGGGAAUGGAAAAUUGGUUAAAUGGGUGGUAUUGGAUGGAAUGGGUUCCAUCACACUCCAUUCCAUUCCAUUCAUUUUUUACAAAACCAAACAAUGGAAUAUGGAUCUAUCCCACUCCAUUCCAUUCCAUUCCACCACUCUCCAUCAAUCCAAACAUAGCCUAACAUCUUGACAACUUAACAACUUUGACUCGACAAUGCGACUUCGACUUGACUAUGCAACUUAAACCUCUUAUAUGCAUGUGGUACCAAUCCAGGGCAUCAAGCUCUCAACGUAUUAAGUAUUAAUAUACUUACAGGGCAUCAAGCCCUCAACUUAGUUGAGCUAAAGCUCUAGGCAUCAAGCCCCCAACGUGGUGAGCAAAGGCUCCAGGGCAUCAAGCCCCCAACAAUGAAUGAGUAUGCAUGGACUCAACAACUUAGCAUCUUAGAACAUCGACCUCUUAUAUAAAUCCAAUCAUUUGGAAACAUCUUCAUUCAUCUUGGACCGACUCAUGCAGCUUAGUUAAUAAACAAACAGCAACAUAGGCAGCAUAUAAAACAGUUCAUGAUAUAACAAUAUCAAUGCAAAUCAACAACAUCUCAACAUCGUUUAUAAUUCAUGUAAUGCAUAUACAUUUAUAUCACAUUAUUAACAACAUCAAAUCAUAUAAUUCAGGCUUACUGAAACAACAACAGUAAGAUAAGCAACUUAGUUGCUUACCCCCAUGAUCAACUCACAUCAACUCAUGCGACAAAGGUCACAUUUAACCUAACAAGGUGUUCUGUCUCACAAGUGCUCGCGAGGCGUGAUGAGUCAUUUAUUAUCCUUUUUUAUAUGUUAUUUAGUUUAGUUUUAAUUAGAUUUAAGUUUAUUUUAUAUUAGUAUUAUUUCCUUUUUAAGAUAGUUUACUACAAAUUGCAUUUUAUUAUAUUUCAGGAACGAAUAUUGGAUGGAUUGAGUCUUGGAGCAAAAGAAAGGGACUUGGAGCUGAUUCAGUACGAAAAUACGAAGAUUCGGAGACAAAAAUAUGUCUCUCCCAAAGUCAGAAGCUUGGCACGGCCGGGCCACCCUCCAGAGUCACUUUUGCUGCUUUUGCUUAGAUUAUAAGCUACUCUAUUUUAGCCCGCAGUUUCUUGUGGAACAUUCUAGUAAUGUAAUUGCUUAGNUUUAAUAGUUUGGUUUGAGAAGGACUUGUCGUUAGGAUGAACCAAUAACCCCAAGGCUUUUAUCUUUUAUUUUAUUAUUUGCUUUUAAUUAAAAACCCAAACUUUUCUACCUUAUAAACCUUUAGUCUAAUCAUUAUCUAAAGUCAAUUAAAUUCCUAACUCCCUGUCGGAACGAUAUUCUAUUUUUACUACUUCGAUAGAACCGUGCACUUGCGGUUUUAUCCCAUCAAUGAUUUAGAGUUGGCGGUUGUGGUCUUUGUAUUGAAGAUAUGGAGACAUCACUUGUAUGGUUCGAGGUUCGAGGUGUUUAGUGAUCACAAGAGAUUGAAGUAUUUGUUCGAUCAGAAAGAAUUGAAUAUGAGGCAGCGAAGGUGGCUUGAAUUAUUGAAAGAUUAUGACUUUGGUUUGAAUUAUCAUCCAGGUAAAGCUAAUGUUGUUGCAGAUGCCUUGAGUAGAAAGACAUUGCAUAUGUCCGCCAUGAUGGUUAGAGAGUUCGAGUUACUUGAGCAGUUUAGAGAUAUGAGCUUAGUUUGUGAGUGGUCACCUCAGAGUGUGAAACUAGGAAUGUUGAAGAUUGAUAGUGAAUUUCUGAAGAGUAUUAAAGAGGCACAAAAAGUUGAUGUCAAGUUUGUAGACUUAUUGGUAGCUAGUAAUCAGACUGAAGAAGGUGAAUUUAAGGUCGAUGACCAUGGUGUGUUGAGAUUACGAGAUCAAAUUUGUAUUCCUGAUGAUGAAGAGAUGAAGAAAAUGAUUCUUGAAGAGAGUCAUAGAAGUAGCUUGAGUAUUCAACCGGGAGCUACGAAGAUGUAUCAUGAUCUAAAGAAGAUUUUCUGGUGGUCUGGAUUGAAACGAGAUGUGGCACAGUUUGUGUAUUUGUGUUUAUUUUGUCAUAAGUCGAAGAUCGAACAUCAGAAACCUGCUGGUAUGAUGGUAUCGUUAGAUGUGCCAGAAUGGAAAUGGGAUAGUAUAUCCACGGAUUUUGUGACGAGUUUGUCGAAUACUCCUAGAGGGAAUGACGCAAUUUGGGUUAUUGAUAAUAGAUUGAUGAAGUCGGCUCAUUUUCUACCGAUUAAUAUUAGUUUUCCUGUUGCCCAGUUGGCAGAGAUUUAUAUUAAAGAGAUUGUGAAGUUGCAUGGUGUUCCUUAGAGCAUUGUAUCAGAUAGAGAUCCAAGAUUUACUUAAAGAUUUUGGAAGAGUUUGAAAGAGGCUUUGGGUUCUAAGUUGAGAUUGAGUUCGGCGUAUCAUCCGCGGACAGAUGGUCAUUCGGAGAGGACGAUUCAGUCGCUAGAGGAUUUGUUGAGAGUUUGUGUUNGAAGUUAGGUCUAACAUAAGAUUAUAAGUUUAAUAGUUUGGUUUGUGAAGGACUUGUCAAUUAGAUGAACCAAUAAUCCCAAGGCACCUCUUUUAUUUUAUUAUUGUUAUUUUCUUUUAAUUAUACAAAAAUACAACUUUCUAUCUUUUAAACUUUAAUUCUAAUCAUUGUUAAAAGAUAAUUGAAUUCAUAACUCCCUGUCGGAAUGAUACUCUAUUUUUACUACUUCGAUAGAACCGUGUACUUGCGGUUUUAUCCCAUCAAGGCGAGAGCCUCUACUCGCUAUGGCGAGUUCAGGAAAAAGGCAUUCGCCUUGGCAAGUAAGCAACUCGCCUUGGCGAACCAGAAACUGGGUGCUCUCGGGAAUUUGACAUUUUUCACCCAAAAAUCCAUUUUUAAACUUUCCCAGGUUCAAUCUCAAUCUAAAAACUUGCCUAAUCAUUAUUAUACAUGUUCAGGCACUCAAAAUCAUCUAAAGUUCGACUUAAUAAGUGAAAUCACAAAUCAGGUUCCUCACUGGUCAUACUCGUUAUGGCGAGUGAUCUGCUUGCUAUGGCGAGCUGCAAGGUGCAACUCGCGAGGCGAAGAAAAGUUGCUCGCGCGGCGAGCAAUGAAGAUCAUCCCUCGCUAUGGCGAGGAUCAUCCCUCGGGAGGCGAGCGAUGAAUGUUGGCUCGGGCAGAAGUGCAGUUUUCACCAAAAUUCACCUAAUCACCUGGUUUUUAAGCUUAACAUUGAUUCCUAUUGAUUACCUAAGGUCUGUAAACAGUUUCUACAUCAAUCUAACAACUCUACAUCAAUUAAUCAUCAAUUUCUCACUUAAACCCUAAUUUCCAACUUCUCUAAAUUAAUCCUACACUUGUCAAUACAACCAUCAGAAUUACAGCCUUAAUAGAAUUGAAUGCUAGUCUCACCCUUACCUUAGAAUUCGAAAUCGCAGCUCUCUAGGUCCUCUUCUCUUCUCUUGGCUUUUUCUCCAUUUUUCUAAAACUGAACGUACGUACUAACUUUUUCUAAACUAUGUCUUCUCCUAUUUAUAUCUCCUCUAUCUAUUUUAUCUUAUUUCUCUUUCUCCCCCAAAACUCUCUAAAAUCUCAAAACAACCCCUCAACUCAAUAUUUAUUUUAUUUUAAAAUAUUAUUUUAUUAAACAAUAAAAUAAGUCACAACUCCUCAUUAAAUUACAUAAAUCACACCAAUCAUAUCAAUCAUCUAAAAUCACACAAAUCAUAUAAAUAUAUUCUAAACUCAACAAAAUAAUUAAAUUAACCAAAACGGGCGUUACACUAAAGGUAUAAAUAAGCCUUUAAAAAAUAGAUUAUUACAAAAAAUAUCUUAUCUUCUUCACGAGUUUCCAGAACCUACUGCAACAACGAGACCCCCUUUCACAAUCUCAAUUCAAGAAUCUGGGAGGGUUUAGAUCUGGAUUUGAAAUAGUUUUCCACUUCACCAACAUGUUGAAACCAAUAUCAAAUUAAUUCUCUCUCAGAAUGUCGGAUCUGAAACAUGGAUCAUCACAUCCUUAAAAUAUCGAAAAGAAAAAGAGAGAAAAAAAGGCCGCGUUGAGUUUCGAACGACGACAAGGUUGUUAAAUUAGAAGCGUAGAAAGAAAGUGAACGUGUUUUUGUUGUUGUUGUUGGUUUUGUGUGAAGAGAGAGAGAGAGAUAGAUGGAGAAGAAGAAGAAGAAGAAAAACACGCUUUUGUUGUUGUUAGGCGUGAUGUAUGCUCGUGUUAUCUUUUUUAGGGAAUUUGUGUGGUUGAAUAUUGAUGAUUUUUUUGUAGUUUUAAUUUUUAAUAUUAAUUAGUGAGGUUGAAUAUUUUUAUUUCAAAAUUAAAAAAUUACACAUGCGGCGUUUGACUCAACCUAGUAAAUCGUCACAUUUACAUUGACUCGGCCAAAAUUGAAGAAAAGAACUACAAUUGCAAAGGGGCUAAUUUACAUGAGACUAAAUUUGUUAUUUUUUUAAUAGGGAGUAGAAAUCGCAACAUUGAUAAAGUUAGGGGGCCAAAGUACACUUAAGCCAAAUAUUUAAAUAAAGUUAGGGGGCCAAAGUACACUUAUGCCAAAUGUUUAAAUAAAGUUAUGGGUUCAAAUUAAAAUUAUGCCAAAUAUUUAAUUUGUUCAAAGAUUAACCCUUUACGUUUUUAGCGAUGUUGAACGCGUUAUUGUAUCUAAUGUAUUUUCAAUUUGAAUGAAUGAAUAUGGUUUUUUUUUUUUGUAAAAAAAAAAGGUUAAAAUCAAAUGAACGAAAAAGAAAAAGAGGUUAAUUAAAUAAAGGAUAUUUUAUCAAAUAAAAAAAAGUCAACAACACACAUUUUAGCACACACUCUUUUUGAUUGGCUAAAACUUUCAUGGGUCCUGCCAUAUAUGGGACUCCAUGAUUCGGUGAAACAUAUAUAUUUCAACCAAUCAUAUAAAAUGUGUUGAAAAAUGUAUGUUUUUGUAUUCUCUUUAUUUAAUAUAACCCAAUGAAAAAUUAAUGGGUUAAUAGUUAUUUUGCUCCUUGAAUGUGUAAAGAGUAGUCACACUACUCUAAAGAGUAGUCACACUACUCUUUAAUAUAUCAAAAUUCUAAAAUAGUAUCUGAUUGUAUAUUUUGUUAAUCAAAAUAGUCUCUAACGUUAAAAUAGUCGUUCAUUGUUGGUAACACUUUUCAUAUGGAGAUUGAUAUGAAAAUAAGUAAAUAUUUUAAGAUUUAAUACGACAAUAAACACGUACAUUGACUAGCAUUAAACUCGUACAUUGACUAGGAUAAUGUACAAUUAAAAAUUAUUUUAAAAUUUCGAUAUAUUGAAAAUUUAUUGUGUUUAUUUCUUAUACAUUUAAGGAUUAAAUAGAUUAUUACCUAAAAAUAAAUAUGUUAGUGUAAUAAUCUCAAUUUUAUUUUUUUUUACAAAAACAAAAUGAUAUUCAUUCAUUCAAAUCAAGAGAUUACAUCAUUCAAAUCGCUAAAAACGUAAAUGAUGAAUCUGCGAACAAACUCACAACAUCCAAGUUAAUAGCAUAUAACGGCAUAAUAUGCCUACAAAAAUGUAUGGUAAAAUUAAAGUGACCGGAAAAUCCAUGACCUCUGAAUCUGCAACGUUGACGGCCAAAUCUUCGAUUGAAUAAUCGAUCUUUCAAUAUGAAUCAAAUGAAUACCGCACGAAGACGAGAAAUCAAACAACGCCGCACAAGACAAACAACAAACCACCACACUUAGAUGAUGAAAUCACAAAGAAAAAAAAACCUAGGUGCAUAUGUUAGAGUGAGGACAGCCGACUUCAAAUUAGAAAAUUUCUUCCUUUAUUUUUGGUCAUAUGGUUUUGAUGAAUUGAGAAAGAAGUGUAAUUAGAGCAAGGAAUGAAGAAAACAUAGGAAAAAUGAAGAAUUCUUACGACGAACAGAAGCUAAGAGAUGAAGUAAUCUAUCUUCAUUAUCUUUGGCAACAAGGCCCCCCUACUCCUCCUCCUCCUCCUCAUCCUCAUGCUCCUCAAUCAAACCCUAUUCUUCCUCAUUGGCGUCAUCAUCAUGAUCCUUUUCCACCUCCCCACACCAGAUCCCUCCCUCCUGUGAAUUCCACCACAUUCAAGAAAAAGAAAGUUACAAAACCCGAACCCAUUUCCUCUGAGAACCGGAGGGUUAACACAGAUGAUAACAACGUUACAAAACCCGAUUCACCGGGUUGGCCGGUCCCCGUCCCCGUUUCAAGAAACUCUCCUCAAACAGGCUGGCCCACACCAAACCCUCCUCCUCAACCUCAAGAGAUUGAGAGACUCUCUGCAUUACAUUUGCAGAACAAAGCCUGCAAAGCUUUCAAAGACUCUCUGCUUAUUGAUUCCGAUGAUGACGAUGAUGAUGAAGUUGAAGAGGACUAUGAAGACGAAGAUGAAGAUGACAACGAAGACGGUGAUGAUAGAUUUAAGCAGUUUGAGAAUUUUUUCAUUAAAGUUUUUAUGGAAGAUAAUGAACUGAGAUGGUAUUACCAGAGGUGUUUUGAGAAUGGAGAGUUUUUAUGUUUGGUUUGUGCUGCUGAUAAGAAGAAUAAUAAGAACAAGAAGUAUAAGGAUUGUAUGGGUCUUGUUCAACAUUCCAAAUUGAUUUUGAGGACUGCGAAUAAAGUGGCUCACAGGGCUUUUGGGGAAGUAGUGUGUAAGGUUUUGGGUUGGGAUGUUCGUCGUCUUCCGACUAUUGUUCUCAACGGGGAACCUCUUGGCCCAGCUCAGUCACUGGUAGGUAAUCAUCAUUUUCAUUACAAUUCCAAUGUGUUUAUUUAUAUUUUGUUUUGUUUUGUUUCAUCUUAUUAGGAAGAUUUUAAAUAUUAGAGUAGAUUAAGGCUCCGUUUGGUAAAAAAUAGCGAAUAGUUGAUAAGUUAGCUUAUAGAGGAUGACCUAUAAGCUAACUGAUAGGUGAUAGCAAUUAGCAAAUAAGCUAGCUUAUUGAAUUUAUAAUUUAGGGUAAAGUAGCGGUUGAAGUAGCUUAUAGAUAUGAAAUGACAUAAAUAGCAUAUAACUAAUAAACUAGCUUAGCAGAUGACUUAUAAGCUAGCUUAUUGAUUUUGUAGUAUUUGUUAAAAUUAGCAGUUGAAGUAGCUUAUAGAUAUGAAAUGACAUAAAUGUAGUGUUCGGUACAUAUUAGAGUGGAUAAAAUGUGUGUCAAUAUUUUCUGUCAACAACAUUAGUAGUCCCUGGUUUUUAGAUAAAAUGUUGGUGAGAAAUGGUGGAGGCUCGUUUUAGGAAGGGUUGUUGGUUUAGAAAUUCCCCUUUGUGUGAGCAGCUUCCUUGUUUAUUCUCUUUAGCAGUGAACAAGGAGGAAAAGGUGUCGGAUAUGCGGGUGAGAGAAGGUGAUUUAUGGAUGUGGAAUUGGUCAUGGAGGAGAAGGUUUUUUGUUUGGGAGGAAAGCAUUUUUUAUCAAUUCCGGGUGCUCCUUGAUUCAUUUCUUUGGAGGGAAGAGUUGGAUAAGUGGGCUUGGCGUCCGGGAGAGAGUGGCGAUUUCACGGUUAACUCUAUGUUCCUUUUCUUGGAAGAGAGGUUUGUGGUUAACUCUGGUUUUUGUUUGCUGUCCUGGGUGUUUCUGGGUGCGGGUAGCAGGGGAUUAGAUUGCAGUGUUUUUGCUUUUCUGUCCUGUUAUGGUCACCUGUAUUUGGCUUCUGUUUCUGUUCUGUUUGUUGGUGUUUUUCCGGGGCGUUACGUGUAUGGGCGGCGCUUUUGUCUUGUUCCUUUUGCUAGCUUUUGCGCAGGUUAGUCGAAGCUAUGUACAUGCAUUUCAGAUGGUUUUCGCUUGAUUACAUUUCCAUAACUUUGGCUUCGGUGAUACGGAUCGCUAGGGUGGCUGCUGCAGCUCGUUUGCUGUUCCAGUUUUUGGGGGUACAGGGCCUGGGUUGCGAACGUUCUGUCUGUUUUCCCUGCAGCUGCGUGUUUGCAGUGGCUGUUGGGUUUGUUUUUGGGGGUGGCUGUCUUGUGUUAAGCGGCUUUGUAGCGGCAGUAUAGUGGUUGAGAUUUUUUCGGUGUUCGCCUAUAUACGCCCCCGUUUUUGUAUUUUUUUUUUCCCCUCUGUUGCUAGUUCUGUGCAUGUUGUAUGAACUAAUCUUUAGUAAUACUUUGCUAACUCAUUGUUUUUUUAUGCCAAUAGUAACCCUUGUGUGGGAAAACAAUAACAACAUGGUUGCAUCAUUCAUGAUUUUGAGUAAUCCUUGCAUGAUUGAACUCGUCAUUAAUUUGAAUUGAACUUGAAUAAAUUGAAAUGUGAAGAUAUCAUUAGCUUUUAUUACGGAUUUCAAAUGAAGCUAUGUUGUCAAAAGUGUACCAUAGCAGAAUAGUGUAGCAUUAGUAGGGUUCGGUGCGACGCUUUUGGCCUGCGAGCCGCCAUUAGUAACAGCGCUUAUUGCGGCCCCAAAGCGCUAUCCCGUCCAUUAUUAGGAUUUUGGGACGAUAUUCCUCAAAUCCUGUUUUUUAAACUGUUGUCAGGGUAAUGUUCUGUUCUUCAUUAUGUUAUGUUCUUGCUCAAACAAUCGUUUUGUUCUUCUUCCUACGUUUAGUUCAGUUUGUUAUGUUAAAUUUUAUUGCUCUGUACUUUAGGUUCUUCAAUUAUUAAGUAUGACAGUCUCUUUAAUUUUGUGUAUUUUUUUAUUCUUUAGUAUUUAUGUUUACAUCGUGAACUGAUUUUUAGUUUUUGCAAUAGUGUCUAUCCACUAUUGCAUUUUAGGGGGCCGGUGCUACGCGGCGCUAUCUAGGUUUAACAACAUAAAAAUAAGGAUAGGGAGAAUAAAGACACACUGCAACUCAGAUGUACUAUUUAGUAUAAACAAAAUUAACUCAACCAAAUCCAUAAUAAGGUUAUUAAAAACAUACAGCAACACUAAAUUUAUGGAAUUGGAACGCAGACACUUUGAGGUCAUCAUGUAAGAUUUGAAUCUUCGAAACAUAGACGGUAAAACAAAUUAGAAAGUAAAAUCACAAAAAAGAAUGUGAAACAUUGUGAAUUUCACUCGCCAUCAUUCAUUGUGUGUUCCUAUGGAGCACAAACACUAGACAUGUUACUAGCACUGACACGUGAACAUCAGGAAUAAUUUAAGAAAAUAGAAGUUGUUGAAUGUAACGCCGUGUGUCAGUGUCGUGUUUGUGCUCGGUACCAACACAUGUCAGACACUUGACAUGCCUUCAAUAUAGUGUCGGUGCUACAUGCCCCAAUCUAAUUAAAGUGGUUGAACAAAGAUGCCAUAAGAAGAUGGAUGACGCUGGUAGUAGUUGUGGCCAGUGAACAAUAGAGAUUGACAGUACAAGAAGAUGGAUUGUUGGAGGGUGGUGGAAAUGAAAAUUAAACUGUAAAUUAGGCAAUUUGGUCCAGGGUCUGCUCAUGCACGCGAACUCUGACUCAAUGGUGUGUUAAUGAAAUACAGGGAACUUAUUAGAUGGGUUGCGUUCACAAGUUGACAGGUUUGAAAAUGAAAGUAUGUUCACUGCACCAAACGAGUGUGCGGGUUUGCACAGUAUAGUUUGGGUUGGAUUUGAACCACAAAAUAUACUGAACCAAUUAUUUUGGUUUGGGUUGGAUUUUCAGGGUGAUUGGGAAAGACCCUAACCCAUGAACACCGUUUUAUGGAUUGAUUCAGAAUGAAGUGGAUCAGUUAGUAUUUUAUUGAAUAUUCUUCUAAUUUUUGUAUCUAACUUGUAGUUUAUGUAGAUGAUUAUUGUCACAGCAAGAAGUGGUCAUAUUGGAUUAAGAUUUUGAACUUGGAAUGCUGAACUUUGAACUUGUAAAUAAUCCAAUGGGUUAAGAUGUUAAAUUUCUUCCUUGUGAAGGAGAAUUAUUCUCGGAUUCAAGCUGAUACUAGAGAUUAAUAGAAAACUCGAUAAUCUUACUUUAACUACACCGGACAGUUUUUUUUGUUGUUAGUAUGGUGGGUCUAUUUCUCCUAGCUUUUAUCAUUUGAUUGCAGAUGUCAAAGUAUUAAGAUUUAUCAAAGGAUAACUAAGAGUAGGAUUGGUGUUCGAGAAAUUUAGGCACAAGGAUAUUGUUCCCCAUUUUGAUGCAAAUUUGGCAGUAUCUUCUUGUGAUAGAGGAUCCACCUCAGGAUGUUGUUUUCUAUGGAGGAAGUCCUUGUUUCAUGGAUAGGUAAGAAACAAUAUUUGGUUGUAAGGUCAAGUGAUCAACAUAAUAUUAGGCUAUGGCUCUCGCUUCAUGUGAACUCAUAAGGCUGAAACAAUGCAAUGAAUGGUUAAAAUUAUGAGAUUAAUCUGUGAUAAUCAGGUGACUUUCUCUAUAGAAUCUAAUCUAGUAUUUCACGAUUGGACCAAACAUAUAGAGUUUGAUUGUCAUUUUAAUUUGUGAGAAAAUUACUUCUAAAGAUAUGCAAUACAUCCUUUGCAAUUCAAAAUAUCAUUUAACGGAUUUGUUCGCCAGAGCUCUUUGGGGACCAAGGAUUUCUGAUAUCUGUUGCACGAUGGAAGCUUUGGAUUUCUACAUUCCAACUUGAGGGGGUGUUGAAAUUAGACAAUAAUUAAUGUUCAGUUUUCCUAGUAUUACAAUAUAUUGUUUCAUAUGACUGAUUGCUUUCCUAGAUAAUUUAUAUCUUAGUAAAUAAUGCUUGUUUUUGAUCUCUCGUCUGGUAAUUUGUAUCCAUCCUUUAUAUAAGUAUCAUUAUGCCUUUAUAUAAGUAUCUAUAGUAAAUUAUGAGUGUUCAUAUUCAGAAAUUCCUCUCCACUUUUCUCUCGAGCUAGGAUAAAUUGUGGAUUAUAUGCCUGUUGAUAAAAAUAAAAAAAUGUUGUGUUCAUAUAUUUUAUAACACUCAACCAUUGAUUUUUCAGUCAACUUUUAGCCUCUUACAUUAUCGCCUAAGAUGCACUCUCUCACUUCACAAGAGCCAAUUUCAUAUAGAAUUUAGUCUCUGAAGAGAGUUAGAAAAUUGGAACGUAUACUUUUGGCAACAAAAGUAAUACAAUACGACAUGUCUGAGUAAUAAAUGAAUUUGAUUUGAUGAGGAGUUUGAAACAUUGCAGGGUGAGCCUAAGGAAAGUGUUGCUGCUGCUGCUGCUGAUGAUGAUGGAAAGGAUGGUCUCUGCAACACAGAAGAUAUAGCUGUGUCUUUGGAUCAUGUUGAGGAUCCCACUGAGGAGCAUGCAAAAGGGGUUGAUAAGAGUAUUGCCGAGGUUAGAUGUUUAAAAUUUAAUUUUUUUUUUUUUUUUUUUUACCUUUUUCAGGUGAAAUAGAAAAGCUAGAAGUAGACUCGUAGUGCUAUAACUGUUUUAACAGUUUGACUGUGUUCUAAACUGUGUUUUGAUUGUUUUGUUUACAGUGUUCUUCCAAGGAAGGUGAUAUUGAUGAAAGUGGAGGAGGGGAAGCUCAAUAUGAGGUGAGGCAUUAUUAUCUUUCUCAAAUUAAAAAUGCUGAAAAGAGACAGGGCCUGUUUGGAUUAGCUUAUGAAAAGUUGUUUAUGCAAAUAAAUAAACUUUUAUGUUAAUUCAUACGUUUUCACUUUUUUUAUAACUACCUUGAUAAGCUUAUGAAUAGUACAUUAAAACUUUUUUAUUUGCAUAAGCUUAAAAAUAAGUCAAUCCAAAUGGGUGCGGUGUUGAUAUUUUCAAUAAAAAGUUGCUGCUUUGAUGUUGUUAGUUGACUGCAAUCCAUGCCAAAUCCAAUGUCUUCGUCUUGCAAGUCCUAAAACCCUCAAUAAAAUAAUGCCUUAAAAUAACUUAAACUCCCUAUUGUUUCAAGAUGCAGGGUGAGACUAAGGAGAAAGUUGUCUUUGAAGCAUGAUGAUAACCAGUUGAGGAGCAUGCACAACAAACAUGGCCGUCCUUUAGGGGGUGCAACCAGCUCUAUAGGGCGUCUAAAAUAUUGAGGGCUCCAAAUUUAUUAUGUGUAUAGACCAAAUGACCCUAACUCAAUCAUAUGUUGAGAAUUGCUUUUUAAGGCACACACUUAAUAAUUGCUCGCAUAUACCUCAAAUUACAUCCAACGACAAUAAAUUACUGUUUGCAUCAUUUCUUUCUUCUUUUUAUUUUCUAAUUGCUAAUUAAUAAUUCUUCUUUGCUAAUUUGAAAUUUUAUUUGUUAAUCGCUAAUUAUCUUUUAAUUUUAUUUACUGGUUCAACUUAACAUUGUGAAUCAACUUAACCCUUGAUAAGAUGUGAUUGAUUUUAUGUAAUUAGAAGAUAAUCAAAUCUUCUUUUCAGUGCCUUUAUUCUUUGUUUGGGUGAAAACCAAACACCUUUACAAAGUGAAAGAGGAAGAAGAUUAAUAUUAUUGAAUAGAGAGAGAGAAAAAGAAACUUAUGAUUUGUUCAAGAAGAAUAGAUAGAAGUUAAUAAAUUUUUGGCAGCACACCACAUUCUACCUUCUUAGCAUUAGUAUUUUCUGUUUGGUGUCGACUUCUAACCAACGCUAUAUGUCAUAUUCCUAGAAGCUUCUUAUAUAGAGCUAGGCAUGGCAAUGGGGUGGGAUGGGGACGGGUUUUACAUUCUCCGUCAGCAUACCUGAUUCUCAUAUACUUACCCGUUACCCUAUCCAUACCCAACAGGGAUGAGAAAUUGAACCUCAUCCCCGUCCCCGACGGGUUUGGGUAUCCUCGCCCCAUCCCGUCUCCGCAUUAAAUAUAUUUUUUUUAAUAAAGAAUAGAAGUAUUUUUGCAACCUCUAGAGAAAUGUUGUAAUGCAUUAUCCAGCAAUAUACUCACUUUAAUAUUUGUUAGACCGAUUGAUUUAUUUGCUCCUUUAAAUAUCAAUGGUUGUUUUAAUAACACAUCAAUUAUUAAACAAAAUAACAUGGCAUAUCAACAUAAAAUAAUUUUCUGCAUUCAGGACGAAUUUGUGUAUGGGUUCGGGGAGGGUACCAAUAUACCCGUUAACCGUCUCAUACCCGUGUUUUGAAAUCGGGGAAAACCCAUACCCAAACCCAGUCAAAACGGGGAAAAUCCGUCAAAUUGAGUUUAGUUCGGGCGGGUAACCACGGGUAUGAGUUUUUUUUGCCAUGCCUAAUAGAGCCGCCUUUCCCAAAGCCUAUGAUGCACAAAUACGGAUACUGGACACGACACAGACACUGACACACCAACACCAUUAAUAAUUUGAGAAAAUCAUAUAAUUCAGUGUAAUUAUAUAUGUCGAUGUCAGACACAACACGUGUCCGACACCAAAACACGCCUAAUCCAAUGAGUGUAUGUGCUUCAUAGUCCGAAACACUUCAAACAACCACAAUAUUUCUGAAGUAUAUCACUUCUUAUAUAUGUGGGGAUGCAACAGCCAAAAGAUGAAAUUUUCUAUGAAUAGUUAACCCAGUAGUUUCAGCCAUGUCCAAACUUUGAUCCCUCUCCACUCCACUAGGCAAUGACCAAUCAAAUUGAUGAACAAGAUUAGCUAAAACCAACUCAUUAACAACCAUAGCAAAACUUAUUCCAGGACAACCCCUUCUACCAGCACCAAAAGGUAUCAACUGAAAAUCAUGUCCUUUAAUAUCAAUUUCACUUUUCAAGAAUCUCUCUGGUUGAAAUUCUAAUGGUUGAUCCCAAUAACAAGAAUCAGUUGAAAUUGCAUAUCCAUUAACUAUUACUUGUGUUCCAGCUGAAAUGUCAUAGCCCAUAAUUUUUGUGUCUUGCAUUGAUUCCCUUGGAAUUAAUAAAGGUGAUGGUGGGUGUAAUCUAAGAGUUUCUUUGAUCACUGCUUUUAAGUAAUCCAUUUUGUUUAAAUCUUGCUCAGUUAUAUGAGUGUUUUGGCUUACCACAUUUCUCACUUCUUGUUGUAGUUUUUCCAUCACUUUUGGGUGUCUUAGGAGUUCUGUCAUUGCCCAUUCUAAGACUGCAAGUGUUGUAUCUGUACCCGCACCAAACAUGUCCUAAAGAAAAGAAAAAAAAAAUGCAACAAUCUCUAAUUACAUUAUUAGCAUAAAUUUUUGUAUCUUGUAAACAUAUUAUUAAAUAGUAUAUAGUUUAAAAUACCAAACAAAUAGAGUUAAAAAAAAUAUUACAUAUGUCACAUAUUUUUGAUCCACAUUUAUAAAAUUUGAUAAUCGGGAGUUUACAAUACUCACACAUACGCAUCAAUUACCACUGGAACUGGACUCUGAUAUUAGACAAAAUCACAAAUGGCACAUAUAUAGAAGGUGAAUGCAUAUGCUCUAACAUUAAUUAGAUUUUUUUUUUUUUGAAAGAUCAUUAAUUAGAUUUUAAAAAGCAUUAUAUAUGGUCGAUUUUAUUUUUUUUGAAAGACUUUGUUAUUAUUCACCAUCACCUUAUAGAUAUUUUUAAAAAGCAUUAUGUAUGGUCGAUUUUAACAUAAUUCACCUUAUAGCUGGUCGAUUUUAAAAAGCAUUAUAUACUAAUUCUUACCAUUAUCAAAGCCUUGAUGAUUGUUCUAUCAAUCUCAAACCCUGUGGCAUUUGUCCUUUGGAUCCAAAGCAAAACAUCCACAAAAUCAUUUUCUCCUUCAUGUUCAAAAUCACCAAGUCCCUUUUUGCUUCUCUCCAACCAACUACUAACAUGUUCUUCAACAACUUCAUCCAAAAACUCAUCAAACACCUUAGCCACUCUUUUAGCUCUACCAUACAAACCAUUAACUCUUCCAACCCAAUCAAGCCAAGGUACAAAAUCCCCUAAAACACAAGCACCUAACAAUACCUCCAACUCAGCCACUGCCUCCCUAAGUUUUCCCUCACCUUCAUCACUGUAUCUCUUUCCAAGUGUUGCCCUACACACAAUAUCAUUAGUUGUUUCACAUAACAAAUUAGUUAAGUUCAUUGGUUGCAACAAAGAAUUAGAAUACCACUUUCUUAUCUUUUCAAUCAUUAUCACACUUUCCUCUUCUCUUACCAUACUAAAAGAUUGAACCUUUUUGGCACUAAGAAGAUGUAAAACACAUAUACUCCUUAUUUGUCUCCAAUAGUGACCAUAAGGAGCUGAGGCUAUAUCUCUUGAACCAUACCAAAAGAUAUUAAACAUCUUUCUAUGUGGUCUAUUGCAAAAAACAAGGUCAUGUGUUUUGAGGAUUUCACAUGCAGCUUUAGAAUUUGAGACAAUAAGUAUUGGAACAUUUCCAAAGUGAAGUAACAUUAAAGGACCAUAGAUUUGUGCUAAGGAUUGAAGUUUGUGGUGAGUGAAAGUGGCUAGUUGAUGGAGAUUUCCUAGUAUUGGAAGUUUUGGAGGAGAUGGUGGAGAGUUUUUCUUGAUUGAAGAGUUUGAAUUCCAUUUGGGUAGUGAAUAUAGUAAGGUGAUGAUAAGUGCAAGGAUAGAUAUUAGGAACAAGAAUGAGUAGGUUCCAUGUAGAAAAGGCAACAUUGUGGAUGUUCAAUAAUGAUUAUCUAGGAUUCUAUUUUUCUUUGCUUGGCACAAGUACUCUUAGGUUUCUUAGCUUGAGUGGGAACAAUAUAUUGGCAAAUGCAAUGGUGUACAUUAAUUGUUUUUUUGGCUAAAUUGUAUUUUUGGUCCCUUAACUAUUUAAUUAGUAUCGUUUUAGUCACUUAAUUAAAAUUUGAUUUAUUUUGGUAUCUUAACUUUCUCUCUGUUUACACAUUUUGGUCCUUUACGUUAGUUUUAAUUCAAAAACGUUAGGGUUUUUUCAUCUUCUUCUCCUCUUCUUCAUCUUCAUAUCAUCUCCAUCAACCUUCAACAACAAUAAUUUGAGAAAAAUUCAAGAAGAAAAUGAAAAACCCUACCGUUUUUGAAUUAAAACUAACGGAAAUGAUCAAAAUGUGUAACGAAGAGAAAGUUAAGAUACCAAAUUAAAUCAAUUUUUUUGAAGGAAAAUAAAUCAAAUUUUAGUUAAGAGACCAAAGCGAUACUAAUUAAAUAGUUAAGAGAACAAAACAUAAUUUAGCCUUGUUUUUUUUAUAAAGGAAGAUUUGAACAUGAAAUAUCCUCUGACUUGAAAAACACUAUGUAUUUUCUUAUCCCCAUUUAUAAACUAAUGUACGGAUCUUAUUUUUAUCCUAUGUAGAAAUUCAUAAUAUAGGAAUAUAGAUUAACUCAAAUAAAUAAAUUCAAACAUUAUAUGUCCCUCCAUUUCAAAUCCUAUCUAGUUUUAUUGAAUAUUUUUGAACAAAAAAUAAUUGUUUAAAAAAUUCAUGAUAUCUAUCAUCCGUACCUUUGAACUGACUUAAUUCUUACAAACAUUCUUACAAAAUUAUUUACGGUAGAAUAUCUAUACACUUAUCAUUGAAAUUUAAUUAAAAAAAUAAUUAAAUUUGUGACAAGUCGUCGAAUAAAAGAAUUAUUUCAAAUAAAAAAGUCGACUAAUAAAAGAAAAAAGUCGUCUAGAUUUUUUUUUUCUUAUAGACAUUAUGUAUUAAGUUAGUGAUGAUAUUAAUUUCAAGAGCUUGAGGUCCGUUCUUCAAAAAAAAAAAAAAAAAAAAAAGCUUGAGGUCCGUUUGUUAAACAAAAAAUAUUUGAAAGUAUCUCAUAAUAUUUCAAUAUUUGGCUACGACUAUUUUUGGAUGGUAAUUUUUUUAAAAAAAUGGUUAAAAUAAAGAGCUAUUUAUAAAAUUAUUUAAAAAAAUGAUUUUUAUCAUGUUAAAAUCUUUAACAUUAAAUAUCUAAAAUACCGAAUGUCAAAAUUAUUUUUUAAAUUUAAAAUAAAUGAGUUUGAAAUAACUUUAUUUCUUUUUGAGUAAAUUCUCAUUAAAAUAGUUUUUAAAAAUAUAAAAUUAAAAUCAUUUUUUUCAACCAUAACAAAGUGAACAUAAAUCUUAGACAUACUUACGAUUUCUUCGUUGUUCAGUAACUUAUCAAUCGAGCUAUCUUGUGUGUGUCUUUGCAACUAUUAUAAAAAAUAUAUACGUAUGUUUCACAUGGUUUUCUCUACUCAAUUAUUGCAGCUUGAAGAUGCUAAAAUAUAGUUUCUCAGCCAUAUGUUUACUUGUAUGUGUUUGGUCCACUUUAUAGAUAGAAACACCUAUUUUGAAGGAUCUUUUUUCUAACACAGCCACAAAAUUAUUCGAUUACAUCUAAAUCUUUUAAAAUUUUAAUCAUAAUAUAUUUAAUUUGUCUUACCAACAAUUAAUUGGUUCUAGAGCUAAUGAACUUCGGCUUCACAAGUAUGUGAUUAAGGGUUUGAUUUCCAACUCACGCAUAUGGAAGAAUUAUGGUUGACAGGGAAGAACCUAUCUUGUGAGCCCUCAUAAUCUCUGACGAAGAUUAAUCAUUUAUAAACAACGAUGAAAAUUUUGUACCAAUAUCAUGGUUAUCCAAAACAUAAAAUUGUCCUUAUUUAUAUAAAUUCUUAAAUUGUUUAUCUCUCACCCUAAAUCUUUAUCUAUCUCUUACAAAUUUAAUGAAGGAAAAUGCUAUGUAUAAGUAUAACUAACCAGGAUUUGUCUAACGUGCAAUUUUGUACAUGUUAAAGGAACUAAAAGUAGCAUAUUAUUAUUGAAAAACACCAAUCAAUUAUCAAAAUAUUAUAUUAUUUAAUGUAAAAUGCACAAGUUCCAAAACAAACUUACUACUUUAAAAUUCUUAACCCGAACAUGACCAAAUAAAAAAAAAAAUCUUAACAUGUGCAAAUUUACGCAUUAUAAAAAACACAACUAAAAAAAUUUCAUGAAUUCAUCUAGAUGAGUGUUAUUUAAUUGCACAUGCACCACUACCUACAUGAUUGCCACAAAAAACCAGACAUUCCACCAAGGCGAAUAUUAAUUAGCAUCCAAAUAACCAGACAAGGAAGAUAAGGAAGAUUUUGAUGGAAAUCAUUCAUGGAAUGUCUUGUUUCCUUCAAAUUGGUUGUUGCUAUAGAUAAGAAAGGCUCUUCUAUUAAGCAACUUAAUAAUCAUAUAAUUAGGAUUUAUUUCCCCUAAAAAAAGUAGAAUUUAUUUAUAUCUCUUACUCUUAUAUAAGUCUUCAUUGUAACAAAAAAAAUAUAAAAACAGUCUUCUAACUCACUGCAUACAUUUCAGACAAUAAACUUUAAGUAAUAUAACGCUCAAAUUUAGUUGUUUAACAUUACAGUAAAAAAGAUAUCAUGAAAAUUUAGCUGUGAUUGGAUCUCCUCACUUUAAGAAAUUUAAGAAAUUAUAGAACAACUAUGUUGUAUAAUUUUGCAGGAAUUAAUAGACAUCCACUACCACAUUCAUCAACAUUAUCAAUUGAUUGCUACUACAUUCGCCAACAUUUUCGAAUGAUCAGAACCUAAUAGACUUCCAAGUUGAGGCAUAAACCAUCAGCACAGAUGAAAUAAAAAUCAUAACAAAUGUAAGAGAAUGUUAUUCUAGAUUAUCCAGUUUACCCAUCCAUCCUUAACGCAAAUUCCCCAAAAUAUUCCAAAGAGUCUCUUAGACAGAGUAUAAGUGCGAAAUCAGAUUAUGCAAGUGUUUGCAUGAGCAGAUAUAUAGUGGAAAAAGAAAAAAGCAGCAUUCUCAUAUAAUACAAAAUUACAGUGAAUCAGUUAGUUGUUUUCCAACCCGCGGAAUAAAAUAAAUGUAAGCGAGUUUUCUUUGUUGAUUGUUUACGAACCAUUAGCCGGAGGUGUGGAAGACCUUUUCCCCUCAAUGUCCAUUUCUUUUACACUAUCACUUAGAGAACAUGGUUCACAUUUCUUCUCCCCUUUGCCGGUUUCAGGAUUAUCAUCCUCAUCACUCUCAUCCACAACAUUAGGACUCUUUUGUCGAUGCUCUUUCACUUUAAGAUAUUCAUCAUAGUGGGCUUUUCUGUGCUUUCUAAAUUUUUUGCUCCGAUCUGUUUCAGAAUCUUAACAAUCCAACCAACCAAAGAAAGUUCAAGUAAGAUAAGGAGAACAAGUAAUUAACCAAUAAAACAGCAAAUAAACUUAUUAAUCCAAAUUCAAUCCUGAAAUUGCAAUACUCAAGAAUCUAGUAAAAAUUGAGUUUUGUAAUAUAACUAUUACACAAGUAUAUUUAUCACUAAUAUAAAUAUUCAAUCCAACAGUUAGUUUUUUAAACCAAGUAUCAUGGAAAGAUGUCAUCUUUAUAAACUCAUGCCAAGCGUUAUCCUAUCUGGGACUUGAGUUUUUACCAAUAGUCAGAAAUAUGAAAUGAAGAAUAUAUCAUAGUAUCUUACCACCACCAUCUUGUUCCAUUGAUUCUAGCUCAUCCUCAGAUGAUGUCCAACCAAAUGAUUGUCCAGUGCCUCUUUUGCUGCUAGAGCCUACAUCACUCAGAGCAGUCCAUAUUGCUUCAACUUGUGAUGCACGCUUGUCAUCAUCAGUACUUGCAUCAAAACUUCCUCGUACAGGGGAUAGAGAACCUAAAAAUUAAGGGUAAUCCAGACAAAAAUAUUAUCUCAGAACAAAAGUUUACGCACAUAGAAUGUCUAGAAACUACAGUAAACGAGCAGGUUCGAGAAUAAAACCGCACAGUUAUAUUAACAGAGUUUGUUUGAAAUAUGUUCUCACAUUUCUAAACCAAACAUGUCAAAGACAAACUAUAUUCUAGCACAAGAAUAAGAGCACUAUUAUAAUUAUUAACUAUAGUUAAAAGUUAAAAGUAAAAUAACCCUUCCCUGUUUAAGUAAUAUCAUACUACUAUUUGAAUAAUAGCCAUACUCAUGCAUGAAUCUAAAGUAAUGGAAACAUGAAGUUUACGUUAUGUUCUUUACAUACAGUCGUCAUCAAUCAUAGGAUGAUAUGGAGUCUUAGGCUCAGUAAUUUUCUGCCUCACAGGUUUGUUUGCCUCAAUUUCUCCAAUGUUAGCCUCAUCCCACCUUACACGUCCCCUACAAUGUGAUACUGAAUGUGAGAUUCAUUUUAAUAAAAAUAAACCGACGAGUUAAAAGCAGGACAGUAAUAAAAUGAAAAGAUCACAUAAAUGCUUCUAAAAUACAUAUCCAAACAUUCAUAAUUAAUAAAAACAUGAAGUUUAAACGAUCAUUUUUACAUAAUUAUAUAAUGAUCUGGACUAUGGACUCGAGCUCGGAAAAAUUCUGCCUCGCAGGUUUGGUUGCUGGGAUUUCCCAAACAAAAAACACCAUUUGAAUGUUUCUAUAAUAUAUGGUCCAACCGCAAAAAAAGAGCAGAAGUUCCAUUGAUCAUUCUCCAUUUUCAUCUUUCAAUCAUCAUGUGCUUUAAUUAAACAGACACUACUCCUUUUUUUCUUUAAUUUGAUGUCAGUUCAAUACAAAAUGUUACCACCCCCUUUAGGUGUUGCCUUUAUAUAGGCUUCUUGUUGAGCAAGUAAUAAUUUAUGAGGUAGUUAUCAUGGAUUUCCCUUUGGACUAAAAGGGAGUUAUUAGAUAGUGCUUUUUGGAGUGAGGUAGUUAUCAUCGAAUUCCCUUUGGACUAAAAGGGAAUUAUUUGGUUAGUUAGUGCUCUUUGGAAGGCAGAAAACAGGAAAGAGGGUGAUCUAGAUAUGCUUACUAACUCUUGCAGGAUUUCCUUUCUCUUAUCUACUCUGGUCAGAUGUAACAUUGAUGGUGACGACAACCACAUGUAUCUUUUGGCAGCAUUUAUCAGUUAUCACUUCAGAGACUCUCAAUAUCAGAUCACACUUUUGCUACCAAUUUCUCGGAUAUAUAUAGCCAAUUAUAAGUCUCCACUAGAUUGCCUAAGCCUUUAGUAGAGUUAGUCCUUAACAUAGUAUCUUAGCCUCUGUAAUCAAGUCGUCAAGAGUUUUUUUUCCCAUUGCUCCUUUGACUUGCAUUUACUUCCUAAAUAAUUUGAAUCCGCUUACUCUUCCUAGGAUUUUGAAUUAGUAUUUGAACUUUAAAUGCCCUGAAUUCUUGUCUAAACCUUUAUGUUAAUCGAUUAUCCAAUUUCUACAAAGAACCAAUUGCCCUAUUAUGAAAUCCAAUGUGAGUACGAGGUGCUCUAAAAGUGUUUGUGCUUAAUAUUUAAACUCAAGAAGGAAGGAAGCAUAAUGGAAUGUGGCGUGUGUGAAAACUGUCUUCCCGCAUAAAGUUCACGGUUUAGGAGUGUUCAUGCAGGACUGUGUGUCAUAGAGGUGCAAGGACUAAUACUAUUACUUUCUGUAUUGGGCUACUUCGAACUACAUAGAAAAAUAACAUGGGCCAUGCGAAAGUUUAACCGCAGAACUCAGAAUGUUGUAUCAAUCCAACUAAGAAAUGCUUCAGGAAAAAAUGAAGGUAAGGUCUAGUAGAGGUUUUAUAUUAUGGUGUACAAGGUUAGUUAUAAAUUUUGAGCUGUUUUUUCAUCCAUGCUCACGUUAAUUUGCUUCUUAUGCAAAUCAUACAGAUUCCUAAGUUUCCCUCGUUAUAAUACACAAUAUGUAAUGAGCUGGCAAUCCAACUUUCACUCUCCCGGUUUAUAAUAAAAUAAGCAAACAAAUAAACAAAAGAAGUUUGUAUGCAUUACUUCAUUUUGGUAGACAAAUUAGCUCUUCAAACAACAAAAGUAUGCAAAGAAAUCCUCAAGUAGCUUGAUCAACCUGAGAAAACCAUAAGUUUUUGCAGUAAGUUCUCAAGAUUCAAGACCGCAAAGGAUAAACAGGAAUAAAAUAGAAAAACAGAGAAAAGUUGUAAAAAUCACUGCCACACAAUUUAGAGUGUGAAAUAAAAAGGUAUUUGGUGAAAGAAACAACGGGAAAACGCAUGCAAAAUAACAACAACAACAACCAAGCCUUAUCCCACUAUGUGGUGUCGGCUACAUGAUUCAAACGACACCAUAGCGUUCUAUACAAAAACCAUGUCUGUCUCCAACUCAUUAACACAUGCAAAUUAAGAAUCUAAAUAAAUAGCAUGUCUUCUUAACUAAUGUUCAUACUUAUUAGGGAGAAACAAAGUUGAUUGAGUACAAACAUAACAAAAAGAUCACAUAUAAACUUUACCACCAGCUAAGAUUUUCAGCAGAAUAAUAGAAGAAAAUUAGAAUACCGUAUAGUUAUAUCUAAAGGAAAAUGAGUUCCAAAACAGGAAGUUAACGGGGUCAUGCCCAUGAGGCAUCUGUUCCAAGCCCUACUGUUUAUCGCAGGCAUGUAAAACCGUGUCGUUGUUUUCAACUUGCAAUGGUUUUUAUACUCUUACACUCACAUCCAUAAAAAUUAAAGGAAUAUGCUUCUGUGGACAAUUCAACAAACUUUAUGACCAUAAGAAAAAACAGUCAAACUCAAACCCUAAACCUUGUUAAUAAAUUAGAUAAUACAAUCCACUCAAACCAAGCUUACAUAUAUUAUGAAGCACCAACUCAGACACGAACACGACACGGACAUGUCGACACCGAUAAUAAUUUUAGAAAAUAACAUAAUUCAAUGUAAUUAUAUGUGUUGGUGUCGUGUCAAUGUCUCCGAGGAGUAUAUGUGCUCAAUAAAUUUCACAUAAAGAAAAAAAACCAUCAUCAAUAAAUCAAUCAAUGCAAAGCAAGUUCAUUAUUCAACAUACAGAAUAUUAGGGGAAAAAACCUUAAAUUUCAAUUAUUCAAGGCUAUGUACAUGCCCAAUAACCCUAAUUCCAAUUCCAAUUACAAAACAAAAACCAAAGAAUUCAAAUUCAAAACCAAAACAAUUAAAUACAUUUGUUAAAUGAAGAAAAAACAAUUAAAUUUACCUCAGAAUAUAAAAUCCGAAAACUUCAUAGACAGAAAAUCAUUCAAAAGAACAAACAAACAAACCCUAAAAGGAAUUCGUAGCAAUCAAACUCAAAAGGAAAAUGAAAAUCAAUUUUCUCGGGAAAAACUAAUAAGAGAAAAUGGAAUGAGAAAAUGAAAAAGAGUUGUUGUAAUACCUUGAAAUUGAAAUUGAAAUUGAAACUGAAACGGAAAAUGGAUUUUUUGUGGUGUUAAAGUUGAUUCUGCAUAAGUCAAAUAGUUGCAAAAGCGCGUUUUGUAGGAAUCGAAAAUUCUUGUUCGUAUAAUGUUUUUAUUUCCAAUAUUACCCCUUUUGUUUAUCCACCAAGUCAAUGGUCAAACCGCGUAAUUAAACUGGAUUGACCCGAAUAACUCGGACAUAUAACUCAGUCAAUAUAAAAAAUUACUCCCUCCGUUUCAAAAUACAUGUCCAAGUCAACAACUUCACAUAUGCCAAUGCACAAUUUUGACCGUUAAUAUCUUUAAUUAUCUAAAGUAAAAAAUUAUAAAAAUUUAAUAUUUUGAAAAUAUUUGUCGAGACAAAUCAAACAACAUCUUACACGCUAAUAUUUGUAUUUAUACAUUAGUUAAAAAUUAUGGUCAAAGUAAGUCAAGUGAAUAGUGCACAUUGCAAAAGUUGAACAUGUAUUUUGAAACGGAGGGAGUAUAUUGGUAUUAAAUUAUAUUAAACCGGAUGACUCGGUAUCUAAAUAUUUGACACCUAUAAUUUUCUUAAAGAAAACAUAAAGAGAAAAAAAGUAAAAAAUAUCUCUAUCUCUAUCUCUAUCUCUAUCUCUAUUAUAAACAUUUGCCUUAAUUUUUUUGAAAAGUACACAUGGCAUCUUCAAAUUUUUCUUCUCAUUUAAUGCUUUUUCAUCAACCAAUCAAAAUAGAUCAUGACUCAUUUAUUUUUUAUUAGCCAAUCAAAAUGGAUCAUGACUCAUUUAUUUUUCAUAAGCCAAUCAAAAUUGAGCAUUACAUGAUUUUUUUUUUCUAUAUAUAGACAAAUUGUUUUACAUUAUUUUCAUCUACCUCUUUCUCCCAUAAAAAAACCACUUUCAACCACAUUAUCUUUUCUUUUAUUUGUUUAUUUUUUAUUGUUUUACUGUUUGAUUAACAUUUCUUAUUCUUAUAUUACUUUUUAUUGUGAUUUUGUUUGUGUGAAGAAUAUUGUGAUUUCUUAUAUUAUUGUUUUCUUAUUCAAAAUUGGUGUUUAUAUGUUCUUUGUCUUUGAUCGGAUUCUUAUUUUGGACUUGGAAGUCUAUCAAGAGAAAAGAAGAAAUGCAUCACAUAUCAAUUAGAAUAUAUAUGAAGUAUUUAUUUUUAUGUAGCCUUUUUCCCUAUAUAUAGUCGAUCCACCAUCAUUUUCACUUGCUUAUUCAUUUCAUACGAUCUUAUUACCUUUAAAAAAAAUUGCAAUGGUACCAUACACAUGUUCUAUUUCUGUUGUUUCUAAAUAUGAAUCAAUCAUUAACGAUAGAAAAAAAUUAAUCAACAACAUGUUUGACUUCUCUUGCUUGAAACGGAAAUUUUAUAACAUCAAAUAAAAUAUUUAAUUAAAUUAAAUGAAGGAUUAAAUGAUAAUGAAAAUUCAUGAAUGAGUUUGAAUGAAAAAUAACCGUUAAAAUAAAGUUUAUAAAAAAUAUUCAAAUAAGAACAUUUACAUUGGACAAAUCCUUUUUCUUAGUAAUAUUUGUUUUUUGGUACAUUUUAAUUAGUAUUUUAAUCUCAACAAGAGUGCACCAAAGAUCUUAUGCAAAUCUUCUUUCAUUUUUAAUUUCACUGAGAUAAUAAUAUAACAUAAAAUAAAAGAUGUUAACCCUUUACCUCCGAUUAAGGAUCCAUUUUCUAAAAAAAAAAUACCCAUUUAUUACCAAAAAAAAUGGUGAAGAAAGAAUGUUUAUGAGUUGAUUAUUGUUAGUACAAUAUUACCAAGUUUACUCCCUAAAAAAACAAAAAUUUACCAAAAAUUGUAACAAUCACAUUUGGAUUGAAUCCGAGUGAGAUGCACCCAAAUAUAAAGAUUUUUUAGUUGUUUUUGUAACAGCCCGAUUUUCGUUAGAUUUACUUUAAUUAUUUUUAUUGUGUGUUUAAUUGUGCUUGUGUGUGAUCUUUCAUCAUUGGGUGCAUUUUCGUGGGUUUUUAUGUUAGAAUGGUAGUUUAGUCAUUUUGGACUUACGGGUAUUUUGGUCAUCUUGUGAGUACGGGUAAUUAGAAAUUUCGGUGAGGAUUAUUUUUAGUGUUUAGUAAGGAUCAUUAUUUUUGCUAAGUUAUUGGGGUAAUAAUUAGUAUUUUACCGUUAAGUGACCGUUAUUAGUAAUUUACCGUUGUGUGUGUAGAAACAUUUUAGAUUUAAGUUGGAGUGGGUUAAGUCCAUUAAGGGGACAUCCUAUAUAAACAUUGUCUUAGAGGAAAUUUCCUACACACUUUCAUUUACAAGAUAUUUUGAGAGAGUUAGAGAGAGAAAGUGCGAGAAAGAGGAAGAAAGGGUUAGAGAGAAGAGGAGCUUGAAGAUUCAAGAAGAGAGAACCUAGAAGCUAAAGUGAAGCUUGAGCUAGGGGAUUGAUCUAACUAAGGUAAGGGGUUUAUAAUUCAUCAUAAUCAUUUUUUGUGUAAAUUUUCAAUUGUUGUAUGAAUAAGUGCUUAAUUGAGUAAUUGAUUAAUUGUUCAUAAUUGUUAGAAUUCGUGCUCCAAUUAUGAUGAUAUGUUUGAAUGCAUGAAGUUUUUGAUAAUUGAAUUGUUGUUAGUGAAAUUUCAUGUUCAAAGUAUGAGAAAGUGGUAUAUGGUGGAAUAUGCUAAAUUUGUUGAAUUAUGCUAUGUUGUUGUUGAAUUGUGAUAACAUUCAUGUUCAAUUGAUGUUAUUGUUUCUAAGUGAUGUUGUUGAUGAUAAUUCAUGGUUUGGGUGUGCAUAAUUCAUGAAUUGUUGGUGAUAAAUGAGUUGUUGUUGGUGACUUUGUAAAAUGGGUUGAAUUAGUUCAAAUGUCAAAUGUUUUCAUGUUGUUGUGUCUUUGUGGAUCAUUUUAGCUAUAUUGACCUGAAAACAAUCUUUGGAAACACAUUUGGACUUUUGGAGAUUAAAAUUGGGGAUUUUGGGUGAAAAGGGGUUGAAACCCGUAAUAUUUUUUUGCAGAAUUAUGAUUGUUCGCUUAAGCGAACGCUAAGCGAACGGGUAAGCGAACAACCACAGUGGGUUCUGUGACUGGUUCGCUUAAGCAACCCGGAAGCGAACAACUAAGUGAACCUUAGUUGUAGCUUUUGGAACUUGUUCGAUUAAGCGAACAAGGUCGUCGUUUAAGCUAACGAGCCCAGUUUCGGCCACUUUUGAAUUUUGUUCCGGGACUUAGGGGGCCAAUUGUAACACCCCUUUACCCAAAAGCAAUUAAAUAACAAUUAUUAAUCAGAGUUAAGCACCAAACGGGCAUGCCACAUUGCAAAUUCAAAAUUUCUUAAAUAGAAAAUAAAACUAUUUAAUUCAACAUGUUUAAUAACUUCAAAUCAUGCAGCGGAAAGUUUACAUUUCAAUAACAACCACAACGGUUAAAUUCUCCAACAACCUCUUGGCAUUAAGCCUAAUCAACAAUAAGUCAACCAACAAAGGGCCACAUCAACAAGUUCCAAAAAUUGAUACAUAGGAAGGAAAACAACAAUAAUAUAAUAUAAUAAUUCCCAUCCCACGUAUCAGAGCCCUAGACACGACUCUUGAGCCACCACCAACUACUCAGGAUCACCUGCAAGUUACCCAUAGGAAGGGCAACAUUUUCAAGCAGAAGGGGUGAGAUUCACAACAAUAAAUAUAGAUAUUAAAAUCAUCAAUUGAAUCUAACACCCUAAUCAACAACACUUUAUCUUGUAAACAUAUAUAUGUAUAAGUCACAAGCAACAACAACAUCAACAAUACACCAUGAUCACAAUGAAUAUAUAUAUAAAUGCAUAUUCAACACCAACAUCAUCCAUCAGAUAAUAACUGAAAACAACAACCAAGACUCAUGCAAAUGACAUGACCACUGCUAAGACACCAUCUUAGACUUCUUAAUGAAAUGCAUUAUGCAUGUGGUACCAAUCAGGACCGAAGCCCUCACCGCUUUUGAAUGGUUAAAGCAUUCAUCAGGACCGAAGCCCUCACCGCUGUUGAGCAACUAGUACUCCAGGACCGAAGCCCUCACCGCUGUUUUAUGCAUAUGCAAUGGACCUACUUGUGUAUAUCUACAUACAACUGACCAUGCAAUGCAACUCAAUAUGACUCCACUUUAAUAAUAUGUAUGAUUCAACAAUUGGCAUACAUUUCAACCAUCAUCAGUAAUCAUUAAUCCAGUAAUUCAAUCAACCAAAAUAAUGCAUAAUUAUAUAUAACCAUGCUCAAAAACAACAACAUCAACCACUACUAUUCAAGCUAGCAAAACAACACUCAGGAACUGUGCAGCUCGCCUCGCGAGCACAUCUGCUCGCCAUGGCGAGUUCACAAAAACACUAGCUCGCCAUGGCGAGUUCAAGGCGAACUCGAGGCGAGUGAAAAUCAGGUGCUCUCGGGAAAAAUGCCAUUUUCUCACUCAAAUCCAAAUUCUAAGUUCCCUAUUCAUCUUUUUAACCUAAAACUUCCACCAUUCAUCAUUAAUAUCAUCUAGGUACCUUAAACCAUCCCCAAAACAUCUUAUAACAACUUUUCAAAAAUCAAGUUUUGUCCAGGCUUGCUCGCCAUGGCGAGUUGGUCUGCUCGCGAGGCGAGCUAUGAAGUUGCUCACUCGCCAUGGCGAGCACAGCUACUCGCGAGGCGAGCGAUGAACUUCUGUACGGGCAGAAAACAGGUUUUUCCCCAAAAUCCCAUUUUUCUUCAAUUCACUCCCCAAAUUAGUUUACAGAUGUAAAUUGACUUGCUGUGUACAUUUAGAAACUAUUUCUAACACCAGAACUACAUUCUCUACCCCAAAAUCAUCAAUUCUCACAAAACCCAUAAUUUCCCAAUUUUCACCAGAACACUGUUAAACUCAAAAUCAAAAAUUAAAAUCUAUACUACUGAAGUAAACCUCACCCUUACCUUAAUUCAACAAAGAAAAUGCACAGCAAAAGGAUUCUCUUGGUUCAAAGUUGCUCUUCUCUCCCUCUUCUCCCAAAAGUUGGUUUUUACGUGAAAACUGCUUCUGACAUCUAUUCUUUUCCUAACUUCCCAUUAAUUAACUCCCUUCUAUUUUCAUUUAACUCCCCAUUAAUUUUAAUAAAUUCUAUUAACUCCCCAAACACCAAAAUAAUUAUUAUUUCACACUUAUUCUAAUUAUUAUUAAAAUAAACUAUAUAAUAAAAUAAACACACCACAUAAAUCACCAAAAAUCAUAUAUAUAUAUAGACUCCACAUAAAUCAAAUAAUUAAAUAUGACAACUAGGGCGUUACACCAAUCCGAGCAUUGUAAAAUGAUUAUUUCAACCUGUUUAACUACUGUUUGAACCCCUAAACCUACUGGAACAUGCCUAGCUUACCUGAACUUGAAUUUUUCCUUUAUGGGUUAUAACUUGUAAAUUUUUGGGAAACUCGGAUUUUGGUUGAUUGAACUUUUAUGAAAUGAAUAAGAUUACAAGUUAAGCCUGCAGCUCAUAUAGACUUAGGUAAGGCUUAUAAUGUCAGUCAAACAUCUUAAUCAUGAUAAACGUGAAUUUCGGGUGGGAGUGUGAAAAAAUGUUAACUUGGGUUUUAUCAUACAAUCUUAAGCUAUUCUUUGAACUAAUGUUUAAUAGUUGUAAGUGGCUUAAGUUCUUGUUUACAUGGUUGAUUAAGAUUGUUUGGUAAGUUUUCAAACUUUAUAUAUUACCUUACUUGAUAGUUAUCAAUGUUGGCCGUUUGCCACUUGAUACGGUUCAUCGGAAACGAGUCUUUUCAAGUGAAAUAUCUUAUGAUCUUGGUGACUAGUUUUAUAUAACUACAUGGAGAUGUGUGAAUGAUUUGUUAUAUGGGGAUAUGAUAUUUAUCAUGUGAUGUUGAAUGAUGUUAAUGAUUGUUGAUGAUUGUGGUGAUAAUGUGAUGUUGACUCUUAAUUGAAUUAUGACUUGAAUGUUGUGUGGACGUAAUUUCUUGAUAAUGCAAAUGUUGUGGAGAUGAUCAAUAUAAUUGGAAGUUGUCCUUUAUAUUGUUGUGAAAAUUGAGGUGAUUGCAUUUUUGAGUCCUUACUGUAUGUUCAUACAUCAUAGUCAUGUUGAGUCUUGUAGUUGUAAAAGGGUUGAGCUCUUUUACUUCGGAGAUUAUGUAAGACGGGUGUGAAAUCUUACAUACGAUAUUUUUGUUGCAUCGAAGGUGACGACCUUGAGGUGAUUCGGUACCACAUGCAUUUAUGUGUCAUGAUUAGGGACAUAUCAUUGUUGCAUGAGUCCUCAUCGUGAAAUGAUUGACAUACUUGUGGUUGUGAGUGAUUGGUUGUGAUAUUUGGAUUUAUCAUUAUGUAUUAUUGUUGAGAUUAAUUAUUCAUGUCAAUUAUUUGGGACUUGAAUUGCUUUAUUCAUGUAUAACUGUUAUGUGGAUUAUGAUGAUGUAAUACUUACCCCCAAUGAUUUUGACCGCCUACCUGUCUGCAUGGAUGGGUAGACGUUGUGCAGGAUUAGUUGCUCUGGUGAGUUGAUUGUUGCUUGGUGGAUAUCGGGAGCUAUCUCCGGUAUCGGUUUAGUUGAGUCUAGGAUGACUCUGAUAUAGGCGUUUGUUAGGUUUCCUAGAUUUAUCUGUUUAGAUUUUAUUCAUGUUGGAGAUUUACCUGUUGUUGGGAUUUGGAGAUUCAUCUAUGUUGAUGUAUUAUUUGGUUCAUGACAUUUAUGCUUCGAAAUAUUCUGGUUUAUAUCCACUGCGACUGUUGAGAUUAUAUGCAUGCAUGAUGAAUUUGAAUUUUGUUAUGAUGACGUAGCAUCUAUUUCUUGAAUAAAUGUAUUAUUCGCAUGUUUUAUUGCUUUAAUAGAAAUAGAGUGUUACACUGGACAUUCCCUUGGUGCUCUCCAAGUAAGUCUAAUGGUGGGUGAUGAGUCAAUAAUUAUCUGUUUUAGUUUAAUAUUUAGUUUCGUUUUAAUUAGAUUUAAGUUUAUUUUAUUUUAAUAUUAUUUCCUUUUUGAGCUACUUUACUUCAAUUGCAUAUUAUUAUAUUUCAUGAAUGAAUAUUUGAUGGAUUGAGUCUUGGAGCAAAAGAAAGGGGUUUUGGAGCUGAUUCAGUGCAAAAAUACGAAGAUUCGGAGACAAAAAUACUCUAUUUUAGUCUUACCAAAAAGCCCUUUGUGUAACACCCUAUUUCUAUUAAAGCAAUAAAACAUGCGAAUAAUACAUUUAUUCAAGAAAUAGAUGCUACGUCAUCAUACAAAAUUCAAAUUCAACAUGCAUGCAUAAAAAGCUCAACAGUCGCAGUGGAUAUAAACCAUAAUACUUCGGGGCAUACAUGUCAUGAAUCGAAUAAUACAUCAACAUAGAUAAAUCUCCAAAUCCCAACAAUGGGUAAAUCUCCAACAUGAAUAAAUCCAAACAUAUAACCUAGACCGACAUAAACAGACGCCUAGGUCAGAGCCAACCUAGACCCUAAAAACACCGAUAACGGAGAUAGCUCCCGAUAUCCACCAAGCAACAAUCAACUCACCAGAGCAACUAAUCAUGCACCACGUCUACCCAUUAAUACAGACAGGUAGGCGGUCAAAACCAUUGGGGGUAAGUAUUACAUCAUCAUAAUCCGCAUAUCAGUUAAACAUGAAUAGAUCAAUUCGAAUAUCAUAUACUUAAUCAAAUAAUAAUAUCCAUAUAUAUAUAUACUCAUACCAUAAUCCCAAUAUCUUACAUUAAGCAAUCAUCAAUCACAUGGAUCAUGAACAACCAUCAAUCACAUUUCCCAAUAAGACUCAUGUCAUGAUGUGCACCAAGUUCGACACAUAUAUGCAUGUGGUACCAUUUCACUUCAAGGUCGUCACCUAUAUCUAGACCAUCAAGGGUCUCUGCAAGGCUGGAGCCCACAAUCUAGAUCACUAAUGGAUCUCUGCAGGGUCAAGGCCCACAAACUAGAUCUCUAAAUGAUCUCUGCAAGACCGAAGCCCAACGAUGCAACAAAAACAUCAUAUAAAUCUCAACACGACUAUGAUGCAUGGACAUGUAGCAAAGACUCGAUAAUGCGACAUCACCUCACAAUUUCCACCACAAUAUAAAGGACAAUUUCUAAAUAUAUUGAUCAUCUCCAGAACAAUUGCAUUAUUAAGAAAUCAUGUCCAUACACAAUCAAAUCAUAAUUCAAAUAAGAUUCAUUAUCACCACAUCAUCAUGAUCAUUAAUAAUCAACAAUGUUCUUCAACAUCAACUACCUUAUAUAGUUUUAUCACUUCAAGCAUUUCUCACAUUCCAAGUAAGAUAGCAUACAUAUCUCAUGAUAAGCAUCAUAUCCAACAUAUAAUCAUUCAUUCAUACAACUUCACUUAAUCAUAUAAGAAUAGUCACGAUGAAUCAUAAGCCAAUUGACUCAAAGAAACAUUUCCGACAAUACCAUAUCAAGUGGCAAACGGCCAACAAUGAAGAUUCCCAAGACAAAGCAACAUAGACAAGUUGAAAACUCUCAAACAAUCUUAAUCAAUCAUGUAGUUAUGAGCUUAAGCCACUUAUGGACUAUUGGACAUUAGUCUAAAGAAUAGCUUAAGUUCGUAUGAAAAACCCAAUUUCACAAUCGUUCACAUUCCCACCCGAAAUAUCACUUUUGACAUGAUUAAGAUGUUUCACCGAUCUCACAAGCCUUACCUAAGUCUAUAUGAGCUGUAGGUUCAACUUGCAAGCCCCAUUAGUUUGCAAAAGUUUGUUUCGACAACAAUCCGAAAUUCUCCAAAACUUCCAAGUUAUAACUCAAAACGGAAAAUUUCAAGUUUAGGUAAGCCAAGCAUGUUCCAGUAGGCUUAUGGGUUCAAACAGUAGUUAAGCAUGUUGAAAGAAUCAUUUUACAAAGCUCGGAUUGGCCCCCCUAAGACCCGGAACAAAAGAUUAAAGUGGAUGAAACUGGGCUUGCUUGCUUAAGCGACCACCUGGUUCGCUUAAGCGAACGAGUUCCAGUAGCCACCAGAAAGUACGCUUAACAGUUCGCUUGCAGGGCGCUUAAGCAACCUCUACCCAGAAAGUGCUAUGAAUGUUCGCUUACCAGUUCGCUUAAGCGAACGUUCAUAGCUCUGCAGAAAAUGUUACGGGUUUCAACCCCUUUUCACCCAAAAUCCCCAAUUUUGAUCUUCCAAAGCCCAAAAGUGUUUCCAGAGAUUGUUUGCAGGUCAAUAUGACUAAAAUGCUACACAAAGACUCAACAAACAUGAAAACAAUUGACAUUUGAACCAAUUCACCAAUUUUUACCAAACUACCAACAACAUCUCAUUUCUCAUCAACAAAUCAUGAAUCGUGCAUACCCAAGCCAUGAAUUAUCAUCAACAACAUCACUUAGCAACAACAACAUCAACUGAUCAUGAAUCUUAUCACAAUUCAACAACAACAUAGCAAAAUUCAACAAUUUGAGCAUAUUUCAACAUAUACCACUUUCUCAUACUUUAAACAUGAAAUUUCAUUAACAACAAUUCAAUUAUCAACAACUUCAUGGAUUCAAACAUAUCAUCAUACUUGGAUCACGAAUUCUAACAAUUAUCAUCAAUUAAUCAAUUAAGCAUUUAUUCAUACAACAAUUGAUAAUUUACACAAAAGAUGAUUAUGAUGAAUUCUAACCACCUUACCUUAGUUAGAUUAAUUCCCUAGCUUAGGCUUCACUUUAGCUCCUAAGUUCUUCUCUCCACUUGAAUCUUCAAGCUCUUCUUCUCUCUAACCCUUUCUUCCUCUUCCUCCCACCUUCUCUCUCUAACUCUCUCAAAAUAUCUUGAAAAAUGAAAGUGUGUAGGAAAUUUCCUCUAAGACAAUGUUUAUAAAGGGUGUGCCCUUAUUUGGCCUAACCCUAAGAGGCUUAGUGGACUUAACCCAAUCUAAUUCAAUUCUAAAAUGUUUCUACACUCUAAACGGUAAAACACUACAACGGUCACUUAACCGUAAAAUUCUAAUAACUAUUUACUACGAAAGUAACUUAGCAAAAAUAACGGUUCUCACUAACCACUAAAAGUAAUUCUCACCAAAAAUUACUAAUUUACUCUUACACCCAAAAUGACCAAAAUACCACUAACCCAUGAAAAUGCACCCAAUGAUGAUUAAUCACACACAAACACAAUUAAACACUCAAUAAAAAAUAAUUAAAAUAAAUCUAACGAAAAUCGGGCUGUUACACAUUGCUUGUGGAACAUUCUAGUGAUGUAAUUGCUUAGAUUCUAAAUAGAAUGUAAACUAUAAAUAGAGUAGCUAGCCAUCACAAAUAUUCAUCUUUUCUUGGAAUUCAAUAAGUGACAAUUGUCUUUCUAAUAAAAGUUCUUUUCUUUUCCUUACUUUCUUGUUAUUUACUUUUAUGCUUUUCUCAUUCUUCUCCAUGUCUACGAUGAACAUGAGUGAGUAGACUUCUCUUGUCUUGGGAUUGUUGGAUAAGUCUUAAUGACAUAAUCCUAAUCAAACCAAGCUAUUGACCCUAGUCUUAUGUAACCCUAAUCUCUAAUCUAAAUUCACCGUAUUAACAUGAAAAAAACAUUAUCAAACUAUGAAAACAAAAGUGGAGGGUUUGAUAAUUGUUAAUCCAUCAUCACAAAUAUAAAUUCAUAAAACGAAAGUGGAAAUUUGAUAUUCGAACAAGUGAAUUUAGACAAGGAUUGCAAAAGCAGCGAAAUAAUCUUUGCAAUCUUUGAGACACAUAGUUUCGAUCUUCAGGGGAACUAAUAGUAAUAAAGUCAGCGAAAUAGGCUUGGUUAUUAAAGGAACCAAAAUCUAAUAGUAAUCAAGUCAGCGAAAUAGGCUUGGUUGCUAAAGGAACAAAAGAGAAACUGUCUUUAGAAGUUAUGUCUAACAUAAGGUUUUAGGUUUAAUAGUUUGAUUUGAGAAGGACUUGUCAUUAAGGUGAACCAAUAAUCCCAAGGCUCUUUUUAUUAUAUUAUCUUUCAACCGUUUGAAAACCCUAACUUUGCAACUUGAUCUUCUUCUAAUCAUCAACAAAUGUUAAUUGAAUUAAACAACUUCCUGUCGGAACGAUACUCUUAUUUUACUACUUCGAUAGAACCGUGCACUUGCGGUUUUAUCUCAUCAGUGGAAACUGUGGUUAGACCAACUUUAUUCAUGGUGGUCCCAUCAAAAGCUAACUUCAACUUAUUGUUGGGGAGACAAUGGAUUCAUGGGAUAGGUGAUGUUCCCUCAUCCAUGCUUCAAAGAAUCUCGAUCUGGAGAGAUGAUGGUAUAGUCGAGAAUAUUGAGGUUGACCAAAACUAUUUUCUUGCUGAAGUAAAUCAAAUCACGAGGAAGACAUUUGACAAGAACUUAGAAAAUAUUGCACCAUGUUCAUUUGCAAAAAUUGAUGAUACUAAUCAAGCAGAUGCAAGUUCUGUGAAGCUCCAUCCAACUCAUGGCUUCAUGUGGGAAAGGGAGACGUUCGACACAGAAUCUGACAUGGAGGAUAUGGAUUCCCUAACUUUGGGGAAUGAUGAAGAUGAUCAUCACAUCUAAGCAGGAUGAUUAGAAUCAAAUCACGGUUGUGUAGCCGGAGUCCUAAAUCAAACUGUCUUUAAUGGCUAAUGUAACAGCCCGAUUUUUAGAUAGAUUUAUUUUAAUUACUUUUAUUAUGUGUUUUAUGUGCUUGUGUGUGAUUAUUCGUCAUUGGGUGCAUUUCCAUGGGUUCCCGUGUUAGAAGGGUAUUUUAGUCAUUUUGGACUUAGGAGUAUUUUGGUCAUUUUGUGAGAACGGGUAAAAUUAUAAGUUUUGGUGAGAAUUACUUUUAGUGAUUAGUGAGAACUGUUGUUUUACUAAGUUACUAGAGUAAUAAUUAAGGUUUUACCGUUUAGUGACCGUUGGAAAUAUUUUACCGUUAUUUGACCGUUAUUAGUGAAUUAUCGUGGUGUGUGUAGAAACAUUUUAGAUUUUAGUUGAAAUGAGUUAUAUCCAUUAAAUUUGAGAAUUAGGCCCAUUAAGGGAACCUACUACAAAAACCUUGUCUUAGAGGAAAUUUCCUCACACUUUCAUUUCAUAAGAUAUUUUUGAGAGAGUUAGAGAGAGAAAGUGGGAGCAAGAGGAGCAAGGGUUAGAGAGAAGAGGAACUUGAAGAAUCAAGGGGUGAAGAGAGCUAGGAGCAAAAUUGAAGCCUAAGCUAGGGAGAUUAAUCUAACUAAGGUAAGGGGGUUAGAAUUCAUCAUAAUCAUUAUUGCAAUUUUUCAAUUAUUGUAUGAAAAGUACUUAUUUGGGUGAAUUGAUUAAUUGUUCAUAAAUGAUGAAAUUCGUGCUCUAAUUAUGAUGACAUGUUUAGAUGUAUGAAGUUAUGAACAAUUGAAUUGUUGUUAGUUGAAUUACAUGUUCAAAGUAUGAGAAAUUGGUAUAUGUUGAAAAUAUGCUCAAUUAGUGAAUUAUGCUAUGUGGUUGAUGAAUUGUGAUAAGUUUCAUGAUCAAUUUAUGUUGUUGUUGUUAAGUCAUGUUGUUGAUAAUUCAUGGCUUGGGUUUGCAUGAUUCAUGAUUUGUUGUUGAGAAAUGAGAUGUUGUUGGUGUUUUGAUGGAAAUUGGAGAAUUGGUCCUAAUGUCAAGUGUUUUCAUGUUGGUUGAGUCUUUGUGAGUCUUUUUAGUCAUAUUGAACUGUAAACAUCAUCUGGAAACACAUUUGGGCGAUGAGGGAUCAAAAUUGGGGAUUUUGGGUGAAAAAGGGUUGAAACCCGUAACAUUUUCUUCUGAACUGUGAAUGUUCGCUUAGAGGUUCGCUUAAGCGACCAGUAAGCGAACAUUCAUACUUUUUUCUGGGUUCAGGUCGCUUAAGCGAUCUGCGAGUGAGCUGGUAAGCAUACUUUCUGGUAGCUUCUGGAACUCGUUCUCUUAAGCGAACUGGUGAGCGACCAAUCAGCGACUAGAAAGCGUACAUUGUGGUUGGCUACUAGAACUCGUUCGAUUAAGCGAACCAGGUGGUCGCUUAAGCGAACAAGCCCAAUUUCAGCCACUUUAAUAUUUUGUUCCGGGUCUUUGGGGGCCAAUCCAAGCUUUGUCAAAUGAUUCUUUCAACAUGUUUAACUACUGUUUAAUCCCCUAAACCCACUGGAACAUGAUUAGCUUGCAUAAACUUAAAAUUUCUCAUUUGAGUCUUAACUUGGAAGUUUUUGGGAAAUUCUAGACUUUUGUCGAAAACAAACUUUUGCAAACAAUGGAACUUAUAAGUUGAACCUACAACUCAUAUAGACUUAGGAAGACUUAUAAGAGUGGUCAAACAUCUUAAUCAUGUCAAAGGUGAUAUUUCGGGUGGGAUUGUGAAAUUGGGUUUUUGAUAUGAACUUAAGUUAUUCUUGGAUUAAUGUCUAAUGAUCCGGAGGUGGCUUAAGUUCAUGACUACAUUGUCGCUUGUCACUUGAUAAGGUUUUUGGUCGGAAGUGUUCCUUGAGCCAAUUGUCUUAUGAUUUAUCGUGACUACUCUUAUAUGACUAAGGGAAGUUGUAUGAAUGAAUGAUUGUAUUGAAUAUGAUAUUUAUCAUGAGAUGUGUAUGCUAUCUUACUAGAAUGUAAGGAAUGCUUGAAACGGUGAAACUACAUGUGAUAGUUGAUGUUGAAUGACAUUGUUGAUAAUUGAUAAUCAUGUUGAUGACAUUGAAGUGAAAUGGUACCACAUGCAUAUAUGUGUCGGACUAGGUGCACAUCAAGACAUGAGUCUUGUUUUGAAUUGUGAUUGGUGAUUGUGUAUAAAUAACUAUGAUUUGGUGAUUGUUCAUGACACAUGUGAUUGGUGAUUAAUUGAUGUGAGAAAUUGGGAUUAUGAUAUAAGUAUUUAUAUGUGAAUAUUAUUGAUCAAGUACAUGAUGUUUAUAUUGAAUUAUUCAUGUUAACUGUUAUUUGAAUUAUGAUGAUGUAAUACAUACCCCCAGUGGUUUUGACCGCCUACCUAUUUGUAUGGAUGGGUAGACGAUGUGCAGGAGUAGUUGCUCUGGUGAGUCUUUUGUCCUUGGUGGAUAUCGGGAGCUUUCUCCGAUAUCAGUGUUGUAGAGUCUAGGUGGCUCUGAUCUAGGCGUUUGUCAUAGUCUAGAUUUUUUAUUUGGAUUAUUGUUCAUGAUUGGAGAUUUACCCGUAUGUUGGAAAUUUGAGAUUCAUCUAUGUUGAUGUAAUAAUUGAUUCAUGACAUGUAUAAUUUGAGUACUCUGGUUUAUAUUUCGCUGCGACUGUUGAAGUUUUUAUACAUGGUUAUGGUUUUGAAUUUUUGUAUGAUGACGUAACAUGUAUUUCUUGAAUAAAUGUAUUAUUCGCAUGUUUAAUUGCUUUAAUAGAAAUAUGAAGGUUACAGCUAAUACUUAUCAAAAGAUGGUUAAGAAACCAUUGAUGAAGAUAUUAUUGAAACACUUAAGUUUAUGCUUAAGGAAUUUUGGUCAAUUGACCAUGAAUUUGAUAGUAUCUCCAAUAAGGAAUUGGUAUGAUUCCUUUAGUUAAAAUUAAAUGGUGAAAUUUGGCAAUAGUUGCCUUAAAGAUUCAAAGGGUUAAGUAAGAAACCAUAAGCAGUGGGUGAGACAAAGAUAGACGUAACUCUUGUCUAAAACCUUUGGGACAAACUUGUCAAUAUCAAAGUUUGAGGGCAAGAAAUUAUGUUCAUUGAAGUUUUUACUUAUGAUUUUGGUCUGUUUGCAAACGCUCACUCAGGUUGCGAAUAAUUCUUAUCUUAGACCAUUGAGUUUCUUUACCAUGUUACAAAUCAUCAAUGGAAUUUGAUUCCUUUGAUAAAUAUGUCAAAAUAAAGGCAUGUAUUGAUAAUAUGAGCCCAAUUGUGUGAAAGUAAGUAACACAAACAUUAAAUUUCAACAAAGAAACAAGCAUUCAGCUUUGAAAUUAACAAAGCGAUACAAAAAUUUAGCCGAACCAUUACAAAAUUGGGCAUUGUUAUGUCACACCACGAUGCAUAACAACGCCAAUGUGAAAAGAAAUAAAUGGCAAUUUGUUGGUGAUUGGAUCGGAAAAGCCAUCAAAGUCGAGUUGAAAUACAAGAGAUCAAAUAAAGCUACAUCUAUCAAGUGUAACACCCGGUUUUCCCAACAUAAAAAUUUCAUAAAAAUAAUCAGAGUAUUCACAUAAACGGAAUGUCACAUUCUUUUCUUAAAAUCCUAAACUGAAUAAAUAACUAUUUAUCCUUUAAAAUUCAAUAACAAAAUCUUUAAUACUUCGCAGCGGAAUUUAUUCAAUAAUUAAAACAGUCUUUGGCACAAAGGUCUCAUCAAUAAAUAUCUCAUAAAAUCCAAUCUAAAAACAUAGUCAUAAAUCUUCUUAAAACAAUACGUAAGGAAUACAAAGACAACAAUAAAAUUCUCAUCCCGUUAAGUAUCAGAGCACCUAAAGACACACAUGAGAGCUAAUCCACUCACGAAAGCAAUCUAACAGCAACUUACACUCGAUCACCUGCAAGUUACUCAUACGAAGAGCAACAUUUCCAAGCAGAAGGGGUGAGAUUUUACAAAACAAUAAUAUCAAACAUAUAAUUCAAUAAUUAUAUUUAACAACAUAAAUAACUUCAUAUAUUAGUAAUAAUAAUUCUUCAUGUAAUAAUUCUUAAUAGUUCAACCAACUUCUAAUCAUCAUUUCAUAAUAACAUAACAACACAACUUAAUCAUCACUUAAUAAUAAUAAUAAUAAUCAUAUACAACAUGACAUAAUCAUUACUUAAUGAUAAUAAUCAUAUAAACAAACAACAUAUUCAUCUUAAUCAUAAUCAUAUAAACAAACAACAUAUUCAUCAUCUUAUAUUGAUAUAACAACAACAUAAUCAACAAUGAUUAAUAAAUAUUAAUACUUCACUUAGUUCUUUAUUAACAACUCAUUGACAAAUGACAACUCAACGACAACGACAACGCAACUUCUACAACUUAUCAACUCGACAACUUGACAAUCUUGACAACUCAACAACUUGACAACUUGACUAUGCAACUUAAUCUUCUAAUCAUGCAUGUGGUACCAAUCCAGGGCAUCAAGCCCCCAACGUAUUUGAUUUGAGCGUAAAUAGGCUCCCAGGGCAUCAAGCCCUCAACUUUAUUUGAGCGUAAAAAGGCUCCCAGGGCAUCAAGCCCCCAACAAUGAAAUGCUAAUGCAUGGACUCGACCUCUUAAACAUCUUAAAUCGACAACCUCUUAUAUAAUCCAAAUACUUUGGAACUUCAUCAUCUUAAUCAACUUAGACCGACUCAUGCAGCUUAGUUAAAUAACAACAGCGACACAACAGUAUACAAAACAGCAUGACAUAAUCAUAUCAAAUGCAAGUCAACAACAUCUCAAAUAUACAUUCAUAAUUCAAGUAAUAAGUACGACAUCAUAAUCAACAUUAACAUAUCCUAAAACAGCUUCACAGAUUAUCAUUAAUAUUGUAAACAACUACCAUUCCUACCCCAAAGACCAACUCAUGAACUCAUUAGACCCUUUAUACAAGGUUAUCUCCUUCCUAAAAAAAUCUAUAGAUGGUUAGGAUAAAGUUCCUACACUUAAGAAGAAGUUUGGAAACAUUUGGAGUGAAGAAAAUUGCAUUUUUAAGGUUUCUGGUAAGACAGCAUCAGACAUACUAAAAUUACAGAUUUUUCUGUCAAAAUCGCCUCAUGAUCACUAGAAUCGCCUCAUGAUUUCGACAGCAUCAAACAUACUAAAAUUACAGAUUUUUUGUCGAAAUCGCCUCAUGAUCACUAGAAUCGCCUCAUGAUUUCGACAGCAUCAGACAUACUAAAAUUACAGAUUUUCUGUCAUGAUCACUAGAAUCGCCUCAUGAUUUCGACAACAUCAAAUUUUCACCCUUCACGUUUUUGCGCCUAAAAAUCAAACCGUUAACCCGUUUACGAUGCUGUUUUCGCCUACGCGCUCCUGACACAUAGCUCUAUCACAAUCUACAGAAAAAUUCCAGUUUCAACCACCCAAAAUACGGUUUCUAAAACCUCACAUAAUCACUCAUUUGCAAAACAUUUAGACACCGACUCUUCAAGCGAAAAUCCCAAUUUUCAUCAAUCCAAACUCAAAAAAACUGAUUAGGAAUUUAACCUAUGAUUAUUCUACAACUUGAACACCACCUAUUACUUUAAUUCAUCAGAUUAUCUACUCUUUCUACAUCAAUCUAACAAUUUUUCAUCAAUUCCUCACUUUAACCCUAAUUCUCAAAUCCUCCAAAACUAAUCCCACCCUUCUUAAAUUUAAUCAUCAUAAUUACAGACUUAAUAAGAUUGAAUGUUAGUCUCACCCUUACCUUAUAACUCAAAAUCGCCGCUUUCUAGGUCUUUCUCCCUUCUCUUGGCUUUUUCUCCCUUUUCUCCAAAAUUGAUUGUACGUUAUGUUUUUUUUUCUAACCUAGGUUUCUCCUAUUUAUAACCCUUUAUUCUAUUUUAUCUUAUUUCUCUUUCUCCUCAAAACUCUCUCAAAUCUCAUAACAACCCUUAAACUCAAUAUUAUUUUAUUUUCAAAUUUUAUUGUAUUAAAUAAUAUAAUAAGCUACCUAAUAAAUCAUAUAAUCAUAUAAUAUAUUCUAAACUCUUCUUAAUAAAUUAUAGACUCAAUUAAAAAAUUAAAUAAAACAAAUAAUUCAAAGAGGGCGUUACAUCAAGCGACAUAGAAGACAGAGGUCUGUUGUCAUGUAUUCUUCGUAAUCUCCUGUAAGAGGCCAGAAGAUAUUGGGCCUCCGUCCAUGACCUUGGCAAGUUCCCUUCGAAGAACAAGCAAACUUAUGCUCUAAACCCAGAGGCAAAGGCCUCGUCCAGUAGUACUCCCAAAAGAAAGGGAUGCCACCAAUGUUUGCUAGGGCGCGCCCGCAUUCAGCAAGACAUCUUCGUUCGAACAGGUCCUUCAAGACAGGAAGGAUUUCAUUAUGGGAAAACCCUCCUAUAGCCAGUACUUUCAGUAUGAGGUCAAAAUAACUAGCGCUAUCAGACCUUUGAGCAACUACUUCUUGGAGAAUGAGCUUUAUUUCUUCCAAGUUGGGAUUGUCUCGUUGGAGCAUUUGAGCUUUUGAUGCUACGCCAAACAUCCCAUGCCCACUGUGAGAGAUUUGGCGCAUAAGUUUGCGUUUCCCCUCACAAAUGGAAUGAUCGGCCAAGUACCAUACACAGCUAUGGGGCAAAGCUCUAAGGGUUGCUUUAUCACGAGUGAACUCGCGGUAAAAAGGAAAAGCGGUUUCAAAUCUGACAAGAUCUUCAGCUCCAAACUCUGUUAUCUUCUUGAUGAUCACCAGCAACAUAUCUUUUGGCAAAGUGUCCAUCAUCAAGAAAAAAAAAUUGCAAAAAAGGAAAAAGAGCGGAAGAACAAAGAAUGGUUGAAGAUGUAAAAGGUCGACGGAUGGAAACAACUAUCCCUUAAUAAUUAAAUAUGGACUACACUUUAAUUUAUUUUAUUAGAAGUAAAUAUUUUUAUCACAUAUACUAAUUUUGAACCAUCAAUUAAGAAAAAUAAAUUCAUUUCUUUAUAAUAUUUUUUUCAAGUGUGUUAGAUUAUUAUUGUUUUGCUAGAUUAUUAGAAAUAAAAAAAUUAUUUAGGGAGUAAAGUGUAGAUAGAAGAAUGUAAUUCAAGCUUUUUCUAGAGGAGGGGAGUAAAAUAUUUUAUAAUAUAUUUUGAAUAAGAGAGAAGUGUGUAUUUUAACAUAAGAGUGGAGAUGGGAGUAGUUCAAACAUAUUUAAAUUCAAACAUAUUUAAGGGAAGGGGAGUGUAAUUUACUCUAUAAACAAUCAUCCAAAGUUUCAUUCAAAAAUCCGAAGAUUACAUGUAAGUUGACUUAAAAAUAGAUUAAAAAAAUGGUGAUGAUUUUUUUUUUAUAAGAUUUUUAAUCCUUAAAUUUUAUGAAAACUUCCUAAAAGUUGAUAACCGGUAUCAAAUAACAAAUGAGUAAAUACAAUUAUCCCUUCGAAAUUGUAAGUUUUGUCAUUUACCUCACAUUAACAAAACUUCAAUUACUCCUCUAAAAUUGCACAACAUUAAUCAAUUUAUCCCAUCCGUCAAAUUCUUAUGUUAAUCAAUAUGGCGUUUUGCAAAUACCCUCAUAAAAUUUUGUACUUAUGUGCAAAAUAUCCUCUAAACAUAAAAAUUUAUAUAUUUUUUUUUCUUAUCCUUGACUUAAAACUAUUCAUAAAAUGCACGAAGUAUAUCACUGAUUUAAUUUGAAGUAAAUUUUUUAUCCUUACUUACAUGCUAAAAUUUAAACAUGGAUACAGCUUUACUUAUGCACUUUACAAACAAAUUAGAGAAGUUUUGUGCACAUAUAUAAGCAGAUCAGGAACAAAAUUUUGGGAUACUGAUUAUAUGGGCAUUCUGAGUAGAAAGGGGAACUGAAAAACUUAUAUGUACUUUUCAAAUCUAUGUCUUAUGCGGUAUGACUUUUUAUCUUUUUAGCAACCUCUUGUUCCUAAUUGACCGAGAAUAUCAUAAAUAUUUUCCAUGCAUUUCUUGAUUCAAGUUGUUAUUACACUUAUGUCUUAAUUCAUGUUCCUACACUUGACAAGUUUAUCGUGCAUCUGCGGGGUUUUUUUUUUCCAGCCCAAACUUGUUGAACUGAGUAAAGAACUCAAAGGAUUAAAGGUUUAUCUUUGGUUUUAAGCUAUUUUUAAAGGUUUCUUGCUACUAACUCCUUCGGUACUGGUGCAACCUUUCAAGCCCUCGUUCCUUGUUAUGUAGACAUUGUUACAUUGUUGUAAAAUCUCAUUAGUUGACGGUGUUUCUAAAGUUAAAAACCCCAUUCAAACUAUAAAUAACUUUUGAGUUAAGGAUAAGGAAAAAAAAUAAAAAAUUAUAAGUUCUUGGGACGUUUUACAUAUAAGUGCAAAACUUCAGUAGGAUAUUUGCAAAAUGUCAUGUUGAUUAACAGAAAAAUUUGACGGAUGAAGUAAAUUGAUUAACGUUGUGCAAUUUCAUGGAGUAAUUGAAGUUUUAUUAAUGUCUUACAAUUUUGAGGGUAAUUGCCUAUUUAUUCAAGGUUUAAAUAGGUCUUUCGUCCCUGCAAAUGUAGAUCAUUUGAAUUUUCAUCCUUACUAAUCCUUCCAAUAUGCAACUGCAAAUAUUAAUCAUUUGAAUAAUGAUUUUAAUUACAUCUGAUUAGUAACUUCAUGGACGAAAAUUCAAAUAACAUAUAUUUGCAGGGACGAAAGAUCUAUUUAAGUCAACUACCUCGCCCAAUCAUCACUUGUCACAUGAGCACCACAUCGCUAACGACAGCCCACCUGAGCAAAAAAAACCUAAUUAAGACCAAAAGUCAAAUGAUUAAUAUUUGUAGUGACAAAAUGGAAGGAUUAAUAACUUGGGACGAAAAUUGAAAUGACAUAUAUUUGCAGAGACGAAAGACAUAUUUAAGCCUUCAUUGACCAAUCUCAAGUGUUGAAAUAUCAAAGACAAAAAAUGAGUAAAUAAUCAAUUUCCCCCCUAAAAUUGUAAGUUUCAUCAAUUACCCCCUUGAAAUUAACAAAACUUCAAUUUCCCCCCUGAAAUUUCACAACGUUAGUCAAUUUACCCCCUCCGUCAAAUUUUUCUGUUAGUGAACAUGAUGUUUUGCAAAUACCCCCAUGAAGUUUUGCACUUAUGUGUAAAAUGCCCCCCAAACUUAAAAAUUUAUAUUAUUUUUUUCUUAAAAACAAACAAUUAAUAGUUAAAUAUUAAAACUAACUAUUAAUUUUGGAAUUUGGGAAAACUACAUGCAUAUAUACAUCAAAAUAGGCUCAAAAAUGGGGAAAAAUAUGUAUUUUUUAAAGUGACAAUAAUGGGAUGAUUUGUGGAUUAAUAUUGGGGGUUGUGUAGUUUAAAUGGUUUGAGCAAAUUGUUGAAGGAGUUGGAGGAGUUAAAAGACUAAGAUGGUGAAGGAGAAAAUAUAAAUUUAAAUCUGAUUAUUAAUUUGUUUAUAAACCUCUAAAAAUAAUAAUUUUUCUAUUAGAAAUAACCAUUAUUGUCACUUUAAAAAUACACAUUUUUCCCUAUUUUGAUGUAUAUAUGUAUGUAGUUUUUACAAACUCAAAAAUUAAUAGUUAGCUUUAAUAUUUAACUAUUAAUUGCUUGUUUUUAAGAAAAAAAUAAUAUAAAUUUUUAAGUUUGGGGCAUUUUGCAUAUAAGUGCAAAACUUCAGGGGGGGUAUUUGUAAAACGUUAUGUUCACUAACAGAAAAAUUUGACAGAGGGGGUAAAUUGACUAACGUUGUGAAAUUUCAGGGGUAAUUAAAGUUUUGUUAAUUUCAAGAGGGUAAUUGAUGAAACUUACAAUUUUAGGGGGAAAUUGACUAUUUACUCGACAAAAAAUCUUUGUUUUGUUUCUUUGUCGGUUUGUCCUUUCGUUUGCGCGAGAUAAACACAAACACAAACACACAGAACAGAAGAGAAGGUAAAACCCUAAUUCCUUUGUUUUGCAUCUGUUUCCUACAAUACAACCAUCGCUUGCGGUAAUUAUUUCUGAAUUCUUCGUGUAGUUUCUCAUUUUGUUUAAUUGUACUAGGUUUAAAUAUAAUUGGUUUUUUUAAAAAUUAUUUUAUUUUUAAAAUUUCAUUUUGGGUGUGAUAGUGUUCUUGAAAUAAAAACCCAUUUUGUAAAAUUGAUAAUUUGAUUCUAAUUUUUUAAUUUUUUUUUAUUAUCAAUAAGUUAAAGUCAAUUAAUUUUUUUUUGGUGAAUAUGGUUUCGAUGUUAUUUUUUUUUAUCUUGCAGCUUGUGAUCUUGUAAUUGAAAAUUGAAUGAUAUCAUUUGUUGUCUAUGUGAUAGUUGUAUAAGAAGCAAUCACCGACACAUAGACACCGGUAAUAACUCAAAAUUGAAGUGGUUGAAUGUUACUACAGGUGUCGUGUCAUGUGGGUGUCGGGCACCAACACGUGUCUGGUAUCACACUCUUUCCAUCAGAAGUAUCAGUGCAACUUAGGAUCCUACACGCAGUGAUACUGCAUUUUUUGACUUUAUCUAUGUAACCUUUUUGUGAACAUGCUGUUUUGAAUAAGAUGUAAAGACUUGAUUUUUAUGAUUGAUCUUUCAUUUGCAGGGUGAUGCUUAUUUGAUGCUUCAGAGUUUUACUUCAAGUUUCACUCGCCUGGUUCUGUCAUGGUAUGUUCAAUCUCUUUAGCUUAGUGCUGUCAAAUAGCAGCUUGAGCAGUGCUAUAGUGUAGCGUAAUUUGAACAAAUCGCUAUUGUUCCACAAUGCACUAUGUAGGAUAAAGAGUAAACCAUGAAAUUAUUGGUCCCUUUCUUUGUAAGCAAUUCUCAAAUUAAUCCCUUGAUUAUUAAUAUUUCAAACAGUCCCUGUCUUUGUCAAAAGUUUCUCAAUUAGGUAUCCGUCUUUUAUGUUUCUGAAUAUUUUGACAAAGACAAAGACUAGUUUGAAAUAUUAAUAGAGUCAGAGACUAAUUUGAGAAUUUCUUACAAAGACAGGGACCAACUUGGUGCUUUACUCGUAGGGUAAACUACAAAGUGUUGAUGGCUAUUUCCGCACUAUGGCGUUGUAGCGAAGAAAAAUGUGAACAAACCGCUUCUUUCCAUAAUCCGCAAUUGACAGCAUUGCUUUAACUAUAUAUUUUGUCAAUGUGAUGUUUGAUUUCAAUUUUUAGUGUUAGGAAUUUUGUCACGCUUCUCUUUAUGACUGGUAAAGAGAUCCAGUUUAAUACUAUGAAUAGUAUACUUGUCUGAGUGUGCAUAUCUUUGUAUUGCUGUGAAAAACAACUAUUGGCUGGAAAAUGUUUGCAAACAGAACGACGAUAUACCAUCAUUAACAAUACAACAACAUCACGAGAGUAAAUUUCAUCCCAUAGAUAAAUUCAUAUUUUGAAAUUGAUAGCAUUAACUUAACAUGGCAGUAUUUAAAUUGAUCCAGUGGAUAUUUGAUAUUUCCCAUCUCAAUGUAUUGUGGAACUUAGUUUGAUGUAUUACUGAAUGCAGGAUCCUAAUGGUUCUGUUGAUGAUAAGUGUGAAAAUAGACUCUGCGUUGGCAAUCUUGAUCUCAGAAUUACAGAGUGAGACUCUCUGACCCCUCAACAUGGCUUAAUUUUUAUUUAUUUUUUGCAAAUGUUAACAUUUCUUAUGAAGGCUUGUUAAAGAAUCAAAGAUGGAAAGUGUGCAUUAAAAUGUAUAGGCUUUUUAAGUUAUAAAUGUAUUUUGUACUGUUUUUAAAAUUAACACUUUCUGUUUCUCGAUUUCUUAAAGCAUGUUUGGAUUUCAAUUGAAACAGCUCAAAUACUCAAACUUAUGUUUGAGUUGAUCAGCCAAGAGAGAUUGAAACAUAGGUUUGACUGUUUGAGUUCCUCAGAACAGAAAUCCAAACAUGUGGUAACCAUUGCCAUGACAAACGGUAGCAGGAAUCAAGUUUUUAAAUCGUUGUAACAAUUGCUGUUGCAUCGUGGUCCUUGCUAUUGGGAGGUUGACAAUCAAAUGUAACUGGUUCGACCUCAAUAUGGUCACGAAUACAUCAAAAACCUAGAUUUUGUGGCACACAUGUUUGUUCUCUUUUCCGUGUACUAUAUGCAUAUUCUUAUUUUCUUUCUCUGUUUCCAUCAUUUUCCAGAGCUGCUCUGCUCAAAAUGUUUUCUCCUUAUGGAAAGAUCGUGUCCGUGGACUUAUUGUGGCACACCCGUGGCCCGAAACGCGGGGAGCCACGCGGUUUCGCUUUCAUCCAUUACAGCACAAAAGAGGUACGUUUUUUUUAUCCGUCGAUAGAAAUAAAUGAGGUAUGUUGAUAGCAUACUUUUGUUGAUUUCACAUUCAAGCAAUUUCUGAUUUCCAUUCUUAAAGUGAGAAUGCAGGAAGCAAUAUUGGCCAGGGAGAAAAUGCACGGGAGGUUAGCUUGCAGCCGGCCAUUGGUUGUUCGCCUUGCGGGUGAGAGGUAUGCCCUGGAAAAGGCAGAUAGCUCUACAAAAGCAGUAAGUGAAGGGCACAAGUUACAUCUCACUGGUGGUGGCAUAGGACAGACGAGUCGAAGUGCGAAAAUAGCUGCAAUAAAGAACAAGUUAAAGUCUUUAGAGGAGGAUAAUUCUAAGACUAAGAAACAGAAGCUGAGUGACAAUAUAUCUUGAAUCAGUAAUGUUAUUGUAAAAUCUGUAUAAUCAGGGGAAUAUUCUGUGUCUUAUAAAUUGAAUAUGAUUCAGUUGUUUGUAACACCGUUAAAUUAAAUUGCAGUUUGGAAAAUGUGAUUCAAAGUUUCUCUUAUUUGAGAUGGAAACUGGAAUCUUAAUUCUGAAUGGAAUGGACUGUUGUUUUAUGAGUGUAAAAACAAGUGAAAGGAUUUAAUUGAGCUCAAAGUUCAGUGGCAAUGAACCGAACCAACUCGAAUAUAGUUCGAAAUUUGACUCGACAAUUGGUCCAUUGAACUUGGUUCAUGAACCAAAUGAGUCGAACUUGAGCUGAUUAUUAAGUUUGUUAAUUAAAUGAGCUGAAUUUGAACUAUAGAUAUUUCGAUUCGUUUGGUUCAUGAGAUGACUUGAUAUAUAUAUAUAUAUAUAUAUAUAUAUAUAUAUAUAUAUAUAUAUAUAUAUAUAUAUAUAUAUAUAUAUCAAGUGAGAGGACAUCUUAUAAUGAGAUGAGAUGUGAGAGGGUGAGAUGGUGACCAUUGGAUGAAUUUAGAUGGUUGAGAUUAGACUGCUUCACGCGCUAUUCUAAAUAUCUAUAUAAACUUUUAUAUUUUUUACAUGAAUUAAAUAUCUAUAUAAAAAAGAUGAACUUAAUUGUUGUCGUUAUAUUUCUCCUUUUCUUUUUACCCAAUUUAACUUACUAGUAUAGUGAUCUGUGCCAAGCACGGGUAAUAAAAAACUUUUUUGAUCAAAUGUAUAGAUUUUAUAUUAUGUUAUCUUAAAGUUAUAAGUGUGGUUAUAAUUUAAAUUUGAUAUGGAAAAAAAUAUCAUCUUAAUCUUGUUAAUUUUGUAUAUAUUUUGCAAUAUCUAAACAUUGCACAUAGCGAUUAAAGUAUUUGGAUUUAUACUUAACUAAUUAUUUGUAGUAUAAGAUGUACUCAUUGUUAAGCUUAACAUAUGUAAUAUUUUUGCAAAAAUACGCCGACGUACUGUAUAUUAUUAUUUGUUGACAUAAUGUAUUUUAUUAACCAUAAAAACUAAAAAAAAUUGUAUUUUUUUAUAUAAUAGUCAGUGUCAGAUGUAUACACCUAGUCUGUGAAUGCAAACGUUAAAUUUUUUACGGGUGUGUAUAAAUAUAGUUUGGGCUACAGAAACGCCGAUUGUUAUUUGUUUUUAUUUUUUACAAAACCAAUGGUCUAAUGUAAGUAUUGUAUUUUAGGGUAACAACGAUGUAAAAAAAAAGUUCCGCGUAUUGUUAUUCAUGAAAAGUGUAUCAAUUAAAAGUCAAUAGAUGGAGGACCUGCUUAUAUAGAAAUUGCAUGUCCUGUAAUGACCAUUACACUUUACAAAGAAAUAAAAAAAUAAAAAAAAAACGACUUCCGAACAACACGCAACUUUGGUUUUCUAAAUUAUAGCAACAACAAUUCUAAAACAUAACCAAUGAUCAUACUUAUUGAAAAACUUCACGAUACACAACAUUUGUGGUCUCCUUGCAAACAUUAUUAUCUUCAUCCAAGAUGAGCAGCUUCAAACCUUUUCUAGAAGUAAAUCGAGAAACAACAACAUAGAGUUGUCCAUGCGUGAACACGGGCUUAGGAAGAUAAACUCCCACUCAAGAUAAAGAUUGACCCUGACUUUUAUUUAUUGUCAUUGCAAAACAAAGCGUUAAUGAAAAUUGCUUGCGCUUGAAUUUGAAAGGUAGUCCUGGAUCACUCGAAAUAAGAUUCAUCCUGGGAAUGAAUACCCUGGUACCAACCCUUUUUCCCGUAAUUACGGUAGCAACUAUCGUGCUCUUUCCUAGAUGUGUAACUGUCAGCCUCGUACCAUUACACAGUCCAUUGGUCUGAUCGAUGUUUCUCAUCAACAUAACUGGAAAUCCCACCCUUAUUUUCAACCUGUGAUUUGGAACGUCAGAGCUCUUAAUACCAUUAAAAAAUUAUGUACCAAGCACGGGCUAGAAUUUCGUCAUACUUGAGGGAGAAAGUUGGUAUUGUUAAAGUUCAACAUUGAAUAAAAGAGUGUAAGUUGAACAACUUAUAAGUAAAAAAAUAACUCAUAUACUUAAGGCUUAAAAUUUUGGAUGAAGUUGAUAUCAUUCUAACUUAUGUGGUUACUCUUUUUAAAAUAUGUGGAUCCACACCGGUGUUGGCUCCCUUAGAAGGCCCAACAGUGGCAUGAUAUCCCAGUUCAACAUUUUGGGGGGAACGAAGUGGUUCUUGGUGGUCGAUCACGGGCACAGAGAGUUUGACACCAUUCACACCAAUGUUGGCUCCCUUAGAAGGCCCAACAGUGGCAUGAUAUCCUAGUUCAACAUUUUGGGGGGAACAGAGUGAUGUUAAUGUGUCAAGUGUGAGUUAAAGUUUCAAAUUUUAUGUAAGAGUAUAUGUUCAGCAACAUAUAAGGACAUGUGUAACACCCCUUUUUCCCAACAUAUAAAUAAUAUAAAAUAGAUCAGAGUUCAUCACAAACAGGAUGUCACAUUUCGUUCUUCAAAAUAAUAUUUAACACAAAUAGAGUUAAAAUCCACUCUGUAUUUAAAACAUCUGCUACCAAUAAUUUUCAACAACGUCGCAGCGGAAAAUAAUUAUUCUUUCAAAAAAAUUGGAACUAAGGCCUCAACAUAAACGACGUCAUUAAAAUCCAACAAUAAAUUCAUAAGGAUUGCAAGAGGCUUUAUGUUCUAAGUUGAGGUUGAGUUCAACGUAUCAUCCGCAGACAGAUGGUCAGUCGGAAAGAACGAUUCAGUCGUUAUAGGACUUGUUGAGAGUUUGUGUACUUGAGCAAGGAGGGACUUGGGAUAGUCAUCGUCCAUUGAUAGAGUUCGCGUACAAUAACAGUUAUCAUUCUAGUAUUGGAAUGGCACCUUUUGAGGCUUUGUAUGGUCGGAGAUGCAGAACUCCGUUGUGUUGGUUUAAGUCAGGUGAGAGUGUGGUUUUAGGACCAGAAAUUGUUCAACAAACUACUGAGAAGGUUAAGAUGAUUCAAGAGAAGAUGAAAGCGUUCCAGAGUCGACAGAAGAGUUAUCAUGAUAAGCGUAGGAAAGACCUUGAGUUCCAAGAAGGAGAUCACGUGUUUUUGAGAGUCACUCAUGUGACUGGUGUUGGACGUGCAUUGAAGUCAAAGAAGUUGACUCCGAGAUUUAUUGAUCCGUAUCAGAUAUCAGAAAGAGUUGGAAUGGUGGCGUAUCGAGUGGGUUUACCACCGCAUCUUUCGAAUUUACAUGAUGUGUUUCAUGUAUCGCAACUUCGGAAGUAUGUUCCGGAUCCAUCUCAUGUGAUCCAAAGUGAUGAUGUGCAAGUUAGAGAUAACCUUACGGUUGAGACUUUACCGGUGAGGAUUGAAGAUCGAAAAGUGAAGACGUUGAAAGACAAAGAGAUACCUCUUGUGAAAGUCGUUUGGGACGGAGCGACUGGUGAAAGCUUAACGUGGGAGUUGGAGAGUAAUAUGUUGGAAUCUUAUCCAGAGUUGUUUGCAAGAGGUAAAUUUUCGAGGACGAAAAUGUUAUAAGUUGGGGAGAGUUGUAACGCCCACUUUGAUUAUUUAAUUAUUUUUGUUGAGUUUAGAAUAUAUUUAUAUGAUUUGUGUGAUUUAAGUGAUUUAAUGAAGUGUUGUGACUUAUUUUAUUGUUUAAUAAAAUAAGAUUUGAAAAUAAAAUAAAUAUUGAGUUGAGGGGUUGUUUUGUGAAUUUAGAGAGUUUUGUGGGAAAAAAGAGGAAUAAGAUAGAAUAGAUAGAGGAAAUAUAAAUAGGUGAGAACUAGAAAAGUUUUAUAGUACGAUCAGUUUUGGAAAAAAAGGAGAAAAGUCAAGAGAAGAGAAGAGGACCAAGAGAGGUUGCGAUUUCGAUUUUCUAAGGUAAGGGUGAGAUUAGCAUUCAAUCUUAUUAAGUUUGUAAUUCUGAUGAUUAAAUUUAACAAGUGUAGGAUUAGUUUUAGAGAAUUUGAGAAUUAGAGUUAAGAGUGAGAAUUGAUGAUUAGAUGGUGAAAACUUGUAGAAUUGAUGUAGAAAGUGUUACAUACCUUAGAUAAUCCAUAGGAUGAUUACAGGAACCAGUUUUAAGGUUUAAACCAUGUGAUUAGGUGAAUUUUCGUGAAAAACUGCAUUCUGCCCGAGCCAACAUUCAUCGAUCGCCUCCCGAGUGAUGAUCCUCGCCCUCGCGAAGGAUGAUCUUCAUCGCUCGCCUCGCGACCACUUUUCCUUCGCCUCGCAAGUUGCAUGUUGCAGCUCGCCAUAGCGAGCAGAUCACUCGCCAUAGCGAGUUUGACCAGUGAGGAAAACCUAAUUUGUGAUUUAACUUAUUAAGUCGAGCUUUAGAUGAUUUUAAGUGCCUGAAUAUGUAUAAUAAUGAUUAGGCAAGUUAUGAGAUUGAGAUUGAACCUGGAAAAGUUUAUAAAUGGAUUUUUGGGUGAAAAAUGUCAAAUUCCCGAGAGCACCUAGUUUCUUGUUCGCCAAGGCGAGUAGCUUACUCGCCAAGGCGAAUUCCAAUUUCCUGAACUCGCCAUAGCGAGUAGAGGCUCUCGCCUCGCGAGCUCCUGUAAGACAGAAUACCUUGUUUAGGUUGUUGCGAUCUUUGUCGCACGAGAUGUUAUGAGUUGAUCAUGGGGUAAGAAACUAAGUUGCUUAUCUUACUGUUGUUGUUUCAGUAAGCCUGAUUUAGAUGAUUUGAUGUUGUUAAUAAUGUGAUAUAUUUGUAUAUCCAUUACAUGAAUUAUAUAUGAUGUUUGAGAUGUUGUUGAUUUGCAUUUGAUAUUGUUAUAUCAUGAAUUGUUUUAUGUACUGCCUAUGUUGCUGUUUGUUAUUAACUAAGCUGCAUGAGUCGGUCUAAGAUGAAAGAUGUUGUUCCAAAUUAUUGGAUUUAUAUAAGAAUUCGAUGUUUCUAAGAUGUAAGUUGUUGAGUCCAUGCAUACUCAUUCAUUGUUGGGGGCUUGAUGCCAUGGAGCCUUUGCUCAAUUAAGAUGAGGGCUUGAUGCCCUGGAAGUAUAUUAAUACUUAAAUACGUUGAGGGCUUGAUGCUCUGGAUUGGUACCACAUGCAUGAAUAAGAGGUAUAAGUUGCAUAGUCAAGUUGAAGUUGCAUUGUCGAGUCAAGUUGUUAAGUCGUCAAGUUGUUAAGCUGUGUUCUAUACUUGAGCUGAUAAUGAGGUUUUAUAUGAUUAUAUUAUUUUCUAUGAUGAAAUUAUGAUGUUGUUAUGUUGUUAAAUAUAAUUGAUGAAUUAUAUACUUAAUAUUGUUAUUUGUGAAAUCUCACCCCUUCUGCUUGGAAAUGUUGCUCUUCGUAUGAGUAACUUGCAGGUGAUCGAGAAUAGGUUGAUGUAGUUGCUGUCGUGAGUGGUUUCCUUCUCACGUGUGUCUUUAGGUGCUCUGAUACGUAACGGGAUAGGACUUUGUUGCAUGCUUUCUAUUCCUUACGUAUUUGCUUAUGAUAUUUUUAUGACUAUGUUUUAGAUUGGAUUUUUAUGAGAUGAUAUGAUGAGGCCUUCGUGCCAAAGACUAUUUAUGUUGUUGAAUUAAUUCCGCUGCGAAGUAUUAAAUAUGUUGUUGGAUUUUUGAAGAAUAAAUUGUUAUUUAUUUUUGUUUAAGAUUUUAAGAAGUGUAGCAUUCCGUUUAUGUGGAAAACUCUGAUAAUUGUUAUGAAAUUUUUAUGUUGGGAAAACGGGGUGUUACAAUUGGUAUCAGAUUCUGAAAAGAAAGAAGCUGAAGAUGAAAAUAAAUAAGUCCAAAUCCCGACAAAUGGGUAAAUCUCCAAAACAUAAAUAAGUCCAAAAUAAAGAAUCUAGAGUAAUCAUAAGACAAACACCUAGAUCAGAGCCUAUCCUAGACUCUAAGGACCCGAUACCGGAGAUAGCUCCCGAUAUCCAAGCAAGCACCAAGCAACUCACCAAAGCAAUUAAUCCUGCACGUCGUCUACCCAUCCAUACAGACAGGUAGGCGGUCAAAACCACUGGGUAAGCUUUACAUCAAUCAUAAUCCUUAUAAACAGUUUGACAUAAAUGAAUCAAAUCAAGUAUCAAUUAAUUAAUCAUAAGCAAUUAAUUUACAUAUACACAUACAUGCAACAAUUCCAAAUAUCACAGGUAUAUAUUCAUCAACCACACUUAUCAUCAACAACCAUCAAUCAUAUGCAACAAAUAAGACUCAUGCCAAUAUGAUAUGCACCUAAUCCCGACACAUAUAUGCAUGUGGUACCAAAUCACCUCAAGGUCGUCACCCAUGAUGCAACAAAAACAUCAUAUGUAAGAUUUCACACCGGUCUUACGUUAUCACCGAAGUAAAAGAGCACCCCUCCUUUAUAACAUCAAGACUCAACAUGACUAUGAUGCAUGGACAUACAAGCAAAGACUCGACAAUGCAAAUUCACCUCAUAAUAUUCACAACAAUAUAAAGGAUAACCUCCAAUUAUAUUGAUCACCUCAACCACAAUUGCAUUAUCAAGUAUUUACGUCCACACAACAAUCAAGUCAUAAUUCAAUUAAGAGUCAUCAUCACAUUGUCAUCAUAAUCAUCAACAAUUAUCAACAUCAUUCAAUAUCAACUACAUAAUAUAGUUUCAUCACUCCAAGUACUUCUCAUAUUUCAAGUAAGAGAAAAUACAACACCCCAUGAUAAAUAUCAUAUCCAACAAUUAACAAUUCAUUCCCACAUCUUCAUUUAGUCAUACAAAGCUAGUCACGAAGGAUUUAUAAGGUAAUUGGCUUCAAGAAAUGGCUUCCGACAAAAUCCGUAUCAAGUUGCAAAACGACCAACAUUGAUACUUUUCAAAACAAGGUAACUUAUUCAAGUUUGAAAACUAACAACUCAAUCUUAAUCAAUCUUGUAGUCAUGAGCUUAAGCCACUUACGAACUAUUAAACAUUAGUCCAAAGAAUAGCUUAAGUUCGUAUGAGAAACCCAAGUUCACAUUUUCCACAUUCCCACCCGAAAACCAAGUUAUUUGACAUAAUUAAGACAUUAAGUCAACUUUACAAGCCUUGCCUAAGUUCACAUGAACUGUAGACCAAACUUGUAAUUCCUAUUAGUUCACAAAAGUUCGUUCUCGACAAAAUCCGGAAUUUCAAAAAGUUCAAGUUUCAACCAAAAUAGAAAAUCCCAAAUUCGAAUGAGUAAAUCAUGUUCCAGUAGGUUUAGGAGUUCAAACAGAGAUUAAACAAGUUGAAAGAAGUAUUUUACAAAGCUCGGAUUGACCCCCUAAAGCCCGGAACGAAAAAUCAAAGGUUGCUGAAACUGGGCAUGUUCGCUUAAGCGACCACCUUGUUCGCUUAAGCGAACAAGUUCCAGUAGCUUAGAGAAAAGUUCGCUUACUGUUCGCUUACCGGUUCGCUUAAGCGACCAAGUUUCAGAACCUUAUGUUAUUGUUCGCUUAGCGUUCGCUUAAGUAAACAGUCAUCAGUUCUGCAGAAAAAUUACGGGUUUCACCCUUUUUUCACUUAAAAAUCCCCAUUUUGAUCUCCCAAGGUUCAAUUAUAUUUCCAAAGUUUGUUUACAGGUCAAGACACUUAAAAUGGCUCUCAAAAACACAUCAAACAUUACAACAAAUGCCAUUUAACACAAUUCACCAAAUCAACCCAUUUCAACAACAAGAACUCAUUUCUCAUCAUCAAUUCAUGAUUUAUGAACACCCAAGCUAUGAAUCAUCAACAAAAAUAUUUCUUAACAACAACAACAACAAUUAAGCAUGAUUCUCAUCACAAUUCAACAUUUAGAGCACAAUUCACAAUAUAUCAUUUUCACAUACUACGAACAUGCAAUUUUACCAACAACAAUUCAAUUAUCACCAAUUUCAUGUACUCAAACAUAUCAUCAUAACAAGAGCACGAAUUUUAACAACUAGAGAAAAUAAUCACUUACUCAAUUAAGCACUUAAGCAUGCAAUUAAUGAAAAAUUACAACUAAUUGAUUAUGAUUGAAAUCUAACCCCCUUACCUCAAUUAGCAAAUAAUCAUAGCCAACGCUUCAAUUUAGCUCCUAGAAUCUCUAUCACCUCUUGAGUCUUCAAGCUUUUCUCCCUUCUAACCUUUUUCUCUUCUCUUGAACUUUCUCUCUCUACCUCUCUCAAAAUUCUUGUAAAAUGAAAUGAAGACCUAUUUUCUCUAAAGUCUAGAACUUAUAUAGGCUCUACUCAAUUGGACUUAACCCUAAUGCCUUAGUGGGCUUAAUCCACUCACUCACAAUUCUAAAAUGUUUCUGCACACUUAACGGUAAAAUACUAACAACGGUCACUUACCGGCUCACAACUAUUUACCACACUAGUAACUUAGUAAAAUAAUGGUUCUCGCUAGAUACUAAAAAUAAUCCUCACCAAAAAUUACUAAUUUAUCCUUACUCACAAAAUGACCAAAAUACCCAUGAGUCCAAAAUGACUAAAUUACCCUUAUAACACGAAAACCCAUUAAAAUGCACCCAACGAUAAAUAAUCACACACAAGCACAUAAAAACACAUAUUAAAACAAUUAAAAUAAUUCUAGCAAAAAUCGGGCUGUUACACCUUGUGUAGAGAGUUUGAUUGCUUCUAGUUACUCAGUGCCUUAGGUUUAAUACCUCUUGGUUCUGAUUCCCAAGCAGCAGCAACUGUUUUCUUCCUCUGAAACUUAAACUUUAAGAUACCAGCUUCUGGCUUUAACAGACUCUGAGGAACAGGUUUUGAUCUCUUCAGAAUCUUAAUCGUUGAAGUCUUAGAAUCAGAAUUUAUCAUUGCCUUUGGCUUAGAGUUCUUUGACUUUGAAGUAAUCUUAACCUCAAAGCUAGUAGCUUCAGGUUCUGACUGAACAACAGUUUCACUCUUAGAACCUUCAGGUACAAAGAGGGUUUUCAACCCUUCCUUGAUGCAUUCACAACAGGCUUUGAGACUGAUUUCAUUUGGUUUCCCUUCUGAAAAUCCAAUCCCUUUACCAUUGUUUCUAUAAAUGCUAUAAAUCAUAGAAGCAACUUUGCUUCUGUCAAUACCAGACAUAAUAUACUCCUCAAGAGCAAUUUCUUCUUUACUUAAAGAUUUCCCAUUACACUUUUCUUGUAGCUUCUGAGAAAGAUGCUUGAGUUUUUCUUCAUAAGUUCUACAAAUGAAGUCAAAACAACAUAUCUUUAUUUUAAAUCUUUCAACUCAUUAGUUCUGUAUUCAAAGUGUGUAAGAAGUUCUUUAAGAGACUCAAUAAGUUCUUCUCUAGGAAUUUUAGAGUAUACCUUAUUUUCAUCUUCAGAAUUUGAAUUAGGAUCUGCUGUUGAAGUCACAGUAGCCACUAACCACACAUCUACUUUUGCUUCAUCUUCAACUUCUUCCUUUUCAGAAUCUGAUCCACUGUCAAAAUAUUCUCAGGUUGCCAUUAAACUCUUCUUGAUCUGCUUUCUGAAUUUCCUUGUGUUGAAGUUUGAAUUCUUUGACUUGUCCUUUGAUUUCUCGUUCUGAAGAUCAGGGCAAUCAGCAAUGAAAUGACCAGGCUUCUUAAAAUUGAAGCAUCCCUUCUGAUCUUCUUUCUUGGAGUUCUUGUAGCCACCUCUCUUACUCAGAAACUUCCUGUUCUUCUUUGCCAGAUACUGAAGCUUGUUGGAAAGCAUAGCCAUCUUCUCAGUAGGAUCUUCAUCAGAAUCUCCAUCAAGUGAUUCUUCUUCAGAUUCAACAACUUUAAGAGCUUUUGAUGACUUCCCUUUAUAUGGUAGAGCAAUGGAUUUACUCUUCCAAGAAGGUUCAUGUUCAUUAAGACUUAUCUCAUGAACUCUGAGAGAGUUGAGUAGAUCUUCAAAACUUAAAGUGUUUAAAUCUUUAGCUUCCUCAAUAGCAGUCACCUUUGGUCUCCAUCUUGCAGGUAAGCUUCUCAGUAUCUUGCUCACAAGAUCAGAGGCUGCAUAGCUUUUCUUCAGUAUUUGAAGUCCAGAAACUAGAGUCUGAAAUCUUGAGUACAUUUUCUCAAUACUUUCAUCAUCUUUCAUUUUGAACAACUCAUACUGAUGAAAAAGCAUAAGAGCUUUUGCUUCUCUUACUUUCUUACUACCUUCAUAGUUUGCACAGAGAGAAGCAAACAUUGACUAAGUAGUUGAUUUGUCACUCAUCUUCAUAUACUCUGCUUUAGGUAUAACUUUGACAAGUGCUCAUCUGAUUGUGUGAUGCUUGUUGUAGAAUUUCUUCUGAGCAGAAGUAUGUUUUCUUCAAUCAACAACAGCUCCUUCUUCAUCAACGACCAAGUCACCAAUACCAUCUUCUAGUAUGUCCCAUAGUUCUUCAUCUAAGCCCAUGACAUGACUAUAGAAGUUGGUCUUCCACCAGGAAAAUUCUUCAGGAUAUCCAUUGAACUUUGGAACUUUUCCAUAGUCAGAUUUCUUGUUGUUACCAUAAUUAUAUGGAAUAGCAGUGCUAGUACUGGAUUCAGGUUCCAUACCAGACAUGUUUUUCUCAUAUCUUUUUAUGUUACACUGUUAAGUGUUUUGACAACAGACCAAGGCUCUAGAUGUCAAUUGAAGGUGAGAAAAACACAAGAAGGGGGGUUGAAUUGUGUUAGCUUUUUCUUCGUUUUCUCCUAAGCUGAAAACACUAAUCAUAAGCAAAUAAAGUUCUGUUUCUGAAGUGAUUCCCAGAACUAAGUAGCAGCGAAUAAAACAGAGACAUAGAGAAAGAAGAAAGACAAAAAACAAUUAUACAGGUUCCUUCCACAAACCAGAAGUAGUCCUAUCCCCUUUGCACUUACAAGGAGAGUUCACUAAAAUGUAAUAUCUGAUUACAAUUGCUCACUGCUAGAACUAGCAAGAGACUUCCUAUGCUCCUGAACACAAUCAAGAGACUUCUAAUGCUCAAGCACAACUGCAAGGGACUUCUAAUUCAAACAGAAUUACAAAAAAAAAAUGUUUGAGGUUGAACACUUGAUAUAAAAUCAGUGGUGUUCAAAAUACAAAUCAGAUACAAACUCUUAAGACUCUAGAAUUUCUAAGAUAUGAAAGUUGUUAAGAAAUUCUAAGUGAACUUUUGAAUGCAGAACAAUUUCAGCAGAGUUUUGGCACUAGUAGAUUGUUGUUGAGUCCUCUUAUAAUCUCUAAGUCUUCACUCCUUUAUAUAGAGGUGUGAAAGAGACGUUUUGAAUUGCCAGCACGUCAAAAUAGAGUCGUUUGAAGCUUUGAUCAAUCACCAAUGAUCUUUUGUCUGAUAUGGUUAUUGUCCUAUGAAGGAUCAAUUUCAAAUCCAUUCCAAUCGAUAGGGAACAUCGUUGCAGGCAGGGAUGUUUUUCUUGUCUUGUAGCAGAGACAAAAAUAGAGUAGUGGAGGUAGUGGUUGUACACUUCGUACAAUUGUACUUUGCCAACACUGUAACGCCCUAGUUGUUAUUUUAUUUAUUUUUGAUUUAUUUAGAGUCUUUUAUGUGAUUUUAAAUAAUAUUUGUGAUUUAUGUGGUGUGCAUUAUGUUAUUAUAUAGUUUAUUUUAAUAAUAAUUAGAAUAAGUGGGAAAUUAAUAUUAUUUUGGAGUUUGGGGAGUUAAAUUAGGAUUUAAUAGAAUUAAGGGGGGUUUAAUGAAUUAAAGGGAAGUUAAAUUUUGGGGAGUUAAGAAUAGAGAAGUCAGAGAAACGUUUUUACGUACAACCAAGCUUUUGGGAGAAAAGGGAGAGAAGAGCAAGUAGAGCCAAGAGAAUCCAAUCACGGUGCAUUUUUUCCUUCUGAAUUAAGGUAAGGGUGAAGUUUACUUCAAUAGUGUAGAUACUUAAUUCUGAUGUUGAUUUUAACAGGUUUUUGUUAUAAUUGGGAAUUUUAGGUUUAUGGUGAAUUAUUGGGUUUUGAGUGUAGGAAUUGUUGUUCUGAUGUUAGAAAUAGGUUCUGAGUGCAUACAACAAGUUAUUUCACAUCUGUAAACCAUUUUGGGGAGUGAAAGUGAGAAAAUUGAAUUUUUGGGGAAAAACCUGCAUUCUGCCCGCACUGAUGUUCAUCGCUCGCUCCGGCGAGUAGACUUUCCCGCCUCGCGAGUGAGCAACUUCAUGGCUCGCCUCGCGAGCAGAACCACUCGCCAUGGCGAGUAUGUACAUGAGAGAUCAUGAUUUUUGAAGUGUUGUUAUAAGCUGUAAAAUGGAUAGUUUUAGGUGCCUAGAUGAUUUUAGAGAGGUCUAGACAAUUUUCAGAUUAAAAAGAUGAAUAGGGAACUUAAAAAUGAAGAUUUAGUGAGAAGAAUGUCAAAACUCCCGAGAGCACCUGUUUUGAGUUCGCCUUGAGUUCGCCGUGGCGAGCAGCCCGUUUUCUUGUGCUCGCCAUAGCGAGUAGAUGUACUCGCGAGGCGAGUUGCCCAGUUCUGAGCUGUUUGUUAAUUAAAUGAAUGUUGUUGAAUGAUAUUGAUGUCUAAGCAUGAUUAUUAUAAAUUGUGCAUUUUUCAGGAAUGAUUGGAUUGUUUAUAAUGAUAUUUUGUUGAAUGAGAUGUAUGAUUUUAUUUAAUUGAGUCAUACUUGUGUUGAAUUAUGGAGUUGUAAGUCAUAUAUACAUAUAUGCAUUGUCAAGUUGUAUGUAGAUAUACACGAGUGGAGUCAGUUGCAUAAGCAUAAAAGCGGGAGGGCUCUGGCCCUGGAACGCCUCGUCGUUCAAAGCGGUGAACACUUUGUUGUUAAAAGCGGUGAUGACUUAUGUCCUGAAUGAAUGCUUUAACCAUUCGAUAGCGGUGAGGACCUAUGUCCUGAACGAAUGCUUUAACCAUUCAAUUAGCGGUGAGGGCUCCGGCCCUGAAUAUGGUACCACAUGCAUGAGCAUUGUAGAGGAGUCUUAGUGGAGUUGUUGAGUGUUGCAUGAGUCGAUGUCGUUGGUUAUAAUUUCAUUUAUUGUUGAUGUUGAUAAUGGUGAUAUAUCUAUGUAUUGAUGAAUUAUUAUUAUGUUAGGGUGUUAGAUUCAAUUGAUGAAUUUAUUAUCUAUAUUUAUUGUUGUGAAUCUCACCCCUUCUGCUUGAAAAUGUUGCCCUUCCUAUGGGUAACUUGCAGGUGACCCUGAGUAGUAGGUGGUGGCUCAAUGUCUAGGGCUCUGAUACGUACGGGAUGGAAUUUCUUAUUUGUUUUUCAUUCCUUAUGUAUCACAUUUUUGGAUUAAGCUAAUGUAGCCCUUUAUUUGGUUGUUGAAAUAAUUGAUGAGGCUUUUAUGCCAAGAAUACUUUAUGGAGAAUUAAACCAUUGUUGUUGUUGCUUUUGAUGCAAAUAUUCCGGUGCAUAUCUAUUGAAGUUUAUGGAAG